rnacentral:lncRNA from 1 species
UUCAAAGUAGUCAAGAAGUAACCAGCAAAGAAGUUGGAGGACACAUAGGUGUAAGGAAUCCCCUCAGCCUCCACAGCUCUGCGAAUCUUGGCCUUGGUCUCAAACGCCAAUUUGGCAGGCUCAACAGCGUGAACUCGAUCAACGUCGUUUCCAAACUCUGACGGGAAAAAUCUCUGCAACCCAAUUCAUACAUUUGCAAUCCCAAUUUACAGAAUUAAACUUUACAAAAAACAGAGUGUUGAUACACAAAACCGGAGGGGUCUUGGAACAAUGUAAAUUCGACCGUGAAUCUGCAAGAAAGUAAAUAACACAAGAUGUAUCGUUGUUCACCCCAAUGUUUGGGCUGCAUCCACACUGAUAUUGUAUUUCUCUGUUUGUGGGAGGAUGAGAGGAUGAGAGGAUGAGAGCUUCUGAGGGUGAGAGAGCUCCUCCUUGAUUGUGAGGGUGAGGAGUCCCUUUUAUAGAAUAAGGACUCCUCACUUAUUACAUAUUUGCCCCUUCCUUUAUUACAUAAUUACAUUUGAGUCCCCCGAGUAUUUAUACGAGAUCUAAAUACGGAGGCCCUGUGUAUGGUAUAAACAGUAGUCCUCCAAGUCUUCAGUCAAUAAAGUCUUUUGGCUGGAGACUUGAAAUUCAGUCCAUGUGUGGGCCGAAGUAACUAGAUGUCGUCUAGAACUGAAUACUCGAUAUGAGGCGGUGCUUAAUGUGAAAUGAUGCUCAACUAGAUGUAGCACAUGUUGCGAGGCUGCUCGGCUUGUGGCUUAUGUUGCCUUGCUUGGCUCGGCUUGCGGCGAGGCGGUUGCUCAGUAGGCGGCGAUGUUCUCUAAUGAUGGUGAGGGAGUCCCUUUUAUAGAAUAAGGGCUCGCUCCUCAAUACAUAAAUAAUGGGCUAAGUCCCUCAAGUAUUUUUCAUGAGGCCCAGUUGAGGCCCAAUAUAUGGUACAUAAUGUAAAUAUGUAAUAAGUGAGGAGCCCUUAUUCUGUAAAAGAGACUCAUCACCCUCACAAUCAGGGAGAAGCUCUCUCACCCUCAGAAGCUCUCACCCUCUCAUCCUCCCACAAACAGAGAAAUACAUUAUUAGUGUGGACGUAGCCCAAACAUUGGGGUGAACCACGAUACAUCUUGUGUUAUUUACUUUCUUGCAGAUUCACGGUCGGAUUUACGUUGUUCCAAGACCCUUCCGAUUUUGUGCAUCAACACAGAGUAACCCAAAAAAAUUCAAAACUUUCACCUGAACAUUGCCUGCUUCUUUGAUGGCAGCGAUAAUCUUUCCCUGAUCAGCCAACUGAGCAUGCCCCACAGUCGAGAUCACCACGUGGACUUGCUUGAUAGCCUUCACCAAGCUCUUGUGAUCGUACAGAUCACCCUGCAAAUUAUAUAUAUAUAUAUAAUAUAAAAAAAUAAAACACACACACACACACACAAAUCAAGCAAAACUCAAUUGGCUAAUCGGAUUAAAAAGCUAGAAAAUGCUGGGGAUUUUACAAACCAGGACGAAAUUUACGCCCAAAGCCUUGAAGUUCUCAAUGACUUUGGACUUUGCCGGGUUGGAGAGGGUAGCUUCUCGAACCAGAAUGUAGGUGGGGUGCCCGACCUUGGCGCUGGCCUCGAAGAUGAAUUUUCCAAUGUAGCCGAUGCCGCCGAUGAAGAGGAUUUUGGACUUGGAAGCCAUCGGGAAUGGGAAUCGAGGUAAUCAGAAUGGGAUGAGUUGGAGAGAGAGAGUGCGAGUGAGAGUGUUGAGGGAGAGGAGGAAUAAUUGGGUGGCUGAGAAGUCCAUUGACCAUGAUCAAAUUGGCUUUUUUUUUGUCAAGUCAGAUAAAUUUUUCAUUGUGACGGGAACACAGAUAGUACAUCACGUAUUUUUAUGUAAGUGGUGGGAAAUAUAUUUUUUAAGUUAUUAACUUUUUAACACACAUAUCUCACCAUUUGUAUAAUGACACGUGAUGUACCAUCUCGCCUGCCGGUCACAUUGAAAAAUCUCUCCAAAUGUUCAAAUUGGCUUUGGUGGAAUUGGAUCCUCUCCUGAGCUUGGGCUCAAGAGCCUCCUAACCAAUACACAAGGGCCAUUAGAUUUUGAUCAAACGGCUACAAUUAUUAUAAUUUUUAGAGGACUUCCUGUUUGGAGCCGUUGGAUUUUGAUCCAACGGCCCUUGUGUGUUGAUCAGGAGGCUCCUGAGCCCAAGCUCAGGAGAGGAUCCAAUUCUAGCUUUGGUUUAUAGUGUCAGUAUAAUGCGUGAAAUGAUGAAAAUGCCCUUGGAUUGUGAAUAGCCUUUCUAGUGAGGACGAUUUAUAGCAUGACGUUGGUGUUUGCAUCUGCAUGAUGCUGGGUUAUUAGGUGGAUGGGUGUCCGUCCGGUUUCCGAGAUGUUUUUUUUAUUUUUUAUUUUUUGUUAGACGAUGAAUUUUGUUAAUUUAGUUAAUAAUGGAGUUUGAAUCAACGCCGUCAUGCAAGAAUUCAACAUUUUUCCACUACUAUAGUAAAAGACCAUUUGCGUUCCGAGAAAUAUUUCGAGAUUUAAUUAUAUUAUUUUACAUGAGUGUUUACAUUUAUAUUUGAUUGUUAGAAUACUUUGGUUCAUAUGAACCAACAAAUGUACCACAUUACAUUGCAUGGCCGUUUGUGGGUUUUCGAUACUGCACAAUUAUAUAUGGGAAACAAAAUGGCUGUUAAAAGAUCCCUAAAAAAUUUCUACUCCUUUUCAAACAGUUUUUCUAGAGCUAAACAGAAACCAACAAUGAAGGCACAUUCUAAGAAAGUAUUGAUGAAAACACAUAAUACACAUACCUCCUUAAAUCUUUCCUCCUUUUGCUCAGCCUGUAUUUGGAAUAGAUUAUGACUUAGGCAUAAACUCAUAAAUCAGUGAAGAAUGAAACCCAAAAUUAAAUUGCAGUUUCUUAUAUCCUUUUUCUAAGAAUAGACAAACAAAAUUGUUUCUUAAAUGAACAAUAUGUAUAUAAGCAGGAUUGUGCUUAAUUUUCUCUAAUUAAAGAAAUGGUUUGCACAAUUUUAGAACCUGAUAACAAAACCAUAACAAAAAAAAAUUCCAGAGCCUGAAAUGCCUUUUGAAAGCUCUGUCCUACUUCGAAAAUCUACAAAUGGAAAAAUUGUGAGCCCAAAUUAAAGCUUCUUUUCUCACUCAUAAGAAAAAUAGAGACUCUAUAUGGAAAAUAAUUGAAAUUAUGCAUAAUCAAAAGUGGAUCAAAACUCUAAAUAGAUUCUCUUAACACGUAGGAGAUCGUUGUUAGAAUUCGGAAACAAUUGAAACUUCAUUUUAAACGCAAACUUAAUCAAUUGAUUUAUAUUUAAAUGGAACAAAAUAUCAGUCAGUUUUACCUAUCUUUUGUUUAGUGUCGCUCAAAUUCUCUCCUUGAUUAAAAGCUCCAAUUUUUACUUUCCUUCCAUUCCCCUUCUGCAUAACAGUUUAGUAGCUCUUGUUUACCUACAACAAAUUGAAAACCAUUUUGGGAAAAUACUAAGCCUUUGGUUAUUAGAUUCUUUAUAGGCAAAGAAAGAAAAUUACACACAACAAAACUAUUAAAACUUUAAAAUCCAACUCCAAAAUUAGGUUCUCUAACUGGCUAAUGAUCAUAUUGGAUAUAAAUUAUCAUCCCUAAUAGUACAAUGCCUAAAUUUUUUUUUUUUUGGACAUUCUAGUGAACUUUGCCAAUAGAAGUUCAAAUGAGAAACAAAAAAGUGAGUGGCUAACCCAGAAAAGGUUAAAUGAACUUUGCUAAUAAAAGUUUUGAAGCAAUUCAUUUUCAGGAACAAAAAUUUGAAAGAGAACACAUGAAGGGGAAACCAACUUUAAAUUUCAUACUAUUUGGCCAACUCCUUACCCAUUUAAAAUGCACCUAAGAAACAAAAGUCAGGACUACAUAACACGACAUAAACUUUUUCAAGUAUAUAUGAUCUUAAUAUGAGUCAUACAACAUACUAUUAGUACCACCCUGUGUAACAACCCGUCCCUAAUUUUAUGGUUUUAUUAAUUUUAAAAGUGUAAAAUUACGAAAAUUCCUUUUGAGGAGAGAUUGUUGACUUUUGUUGACCGUCUUUUCAGGACAUGUGUGAGCUGUUAUUUUACCAUAUUCUUGAAAUACUCGACAGUAUGAAUGCAUAGGCGUAAAUAGAAUUGAAUUUCGAGUUACGAUGAAGAUUUUAUGAAACUACGAAGUAGAAGGGCAUUUUAGUAAAUUCAUUAUUUCAGAUAUUGACCCUUACUAUUUUAUUAUUUCCUUGUCCCCUUGUCCUCUCCUUCCCACUCUCCUGGACCCCCUCUCAUUUGUCGCCACCUCAUCACACUCUUUCUCUAAUUCUCCCUGUCUCUCCCUCAGCUCUCUCGCUUAUCUCUCUCUCUCUGCAAGUGCAGAGAUAUCCAACCACCGACACACUCCCCUCCGACGAGUUCUAUCGACACCAAUACACACCCAUCAAUUUUCUGGACGAGCCACUACUUGGAGGAUAUCACUAAACUCAGAAACAUGUAUGUAAUUGAACCACCGUUAACGCCAUUUUCUUCGGCGAUUUAUCGUCAAUUUCCGAUAAGGUGAAUCUCGGAACACCUUUGAUUUUUUUUUCCCAUCUCACUAUCCUAAGAAUCAUUCUUAGGUUAGAUCUGUGUGUUGGUGAUGAUUUGGAUGUAGAAAACACCCCUGGAAAUUAACCAAGUUUUCCGGCGAGAGAUCGGCGGCUUUGAGCCAUUUUCCGGCCAACUCCGACCACAACCAAGGAAACCAAAGGUAUAUUUCGAUUCCUUGUUCCUUGAACUUGAAAUUGGUAUAUUAGAUUGCUAGUUUUAGUUAAGUUUCAAAGCUAGGUGGAGUUGGAAAAGUUUCUCUGUCAAGAUUCCCAAAUUCCUACCCAAGCCCAAACUCGGAUUCAAGCCUGGAUUCGAACCAAUCGACCCAAACCCAUUUAGGAAUUUGGAGGGAAUAUUCCGUUAACUUUCUAGUUAACUUUAACAAAAUAUUCCGUCUGAGGAUGAAAUUUUCCGUUAAAGUUAACUAUUGACUUUUUCAAAAUUUUCUCGGAAAUCCUCCUAGGCCAAUUUCAACACCCCAAGCUCGUUUUUGACAUCCAUUUAGUGUAAUUCCAAAGUUUUAAUGUAGUUGACCGCCGUGGCUGCUUGGUUGACCUUUUAGGAUUGACCGUUGACAUUUUCGUGGAUUUUUUGCAAAAUUUGAUGGGGACCCUCCUUAGCAUAUUUCGACGCCCUGAUUCCAAAUCCACACUCUGUUUUUCCAAAUUUAAUAUUCUUAGUGGAGUUUUACUAAUGGGUCCCAAUAUUAUGCUUAGAUGCGAUUACUAUCGGAGACUCCGGCUAUCCUAAUUCGAAUGGCUGCUAUCCCGCAAGUAUCUGUGAAUGGGUCUUUACUUUUAAGUAUUAUAUAUUUAUUUAGUUUCCAUUUAUACAUUUGAAAAAGAAUUCCUAUGUAUGCCUAGAUUAGACUAAUGUUUAUAAGAAUUAGCGAAAUGACGGAAUUUACGAAAUUAUUCCAAAUCCUGUGAGAUGCACAGAUAUGCAUACUAUUAUGGGAUGCUUUAAUUAUAUUUGCAACCAUGAAUAGUGUUAUGGUUGAUUAGAAUUAUCGAUUUACCAUUAUAUGAUCAUAAUUGUAUUAUCUGCUCAUCGUGAGCUACACUGGUAUUGUACUCGCCCGGACCAGGGCCAAAUUUUCACGUAUAUGUUCACAUUGCACUGUAUGAUCACUUCAGAUCCAUUGUAGGUGUCAGUCCUGUCUUAGAUUGCUAUAGGCAAUUAGGACUCGUAUGUGAUGCGCAUAGCGUCAGUCUUCACGUGAUUGUAGUACUGAGCAUAAAUUGUCAUUACACCCAGUCUCGUUCAUGUCUGGAUAUCUCUACAUGGACUUGUGUGUCAGCAUGUGUCGAUGAGCACUCGAUAUGACAUGUUGUUUAUGCGAGAUUAUGUGAUAUCGAUCGUUAUAUGUUAUUUACACAUUUUGUGACAUAUUGAAUUCUUGAGAUAUUGCAGGCUACGGUAAGUAUUCUUAUACAAUAUGUAGUAUGUAUAUUUUGGAAACUAUACUUGUUUUAUGGCGAGGGGUUAUUACGUUUUCAAAAAGGUUUUACAAAGUUUUAUAUUUAGGCCCACUCACUUUUUUUUUCGCCCCUCUAGGUUUUAGUGCUGAGCUUUCGUGUCGACGAGGAUUCUUUGCAAAUCUUGGUAUAGGUGGUUACCUUUGAUAGUAUGAUUCUCACCCUACUUUACUGUAAUUUACUUCUGCUCUGACAUCACGUGUGAAAUGGGUUCAUUCCCACUCACAAGUGCACUCUUCCAUUUAGGCACUUUUAGGUUUAAAUUUACUCACAUGUUCCACACCUUUACAGUUUAUGGCUUCGUCACCCUCUAGGUGUCAGCCAGCACCCCUCGAUUCGGAGUCUAAGCGAACAUUCCAGGUCGGGGUGUGCCAAUUUGGUAUCAGAGCAUCAGUUUGGGCAAUAUUGCGUUCAUCACAUGCGUGAUGCAAGCAUUCUCAGUUCUUGAGCCUAAUUUUUGAAUCUUGCCACCUCGUCGAAUACGAAAAAUGUAUUGGCUUUUUCUAAGUUUUGGGCAUCUCAAACUACUUAUCGAUCUUCUAGAAGAACAUUUUUGGCGACCGCCUCUAGACUUAAACAAACAACCUCGCUGCCAAGGAAAAUCCCGAUUUGGUAUGAGUUAAACGCCCUGAAGCAGGGCUAAUAUAUCAAUAGUUGUGCACUACCGGAGAAUUUCUCAUCAAUUCCACUACUAUCCAAUCAUCUUUACCAACCCUUUCGAGAUAGGAAACUAGAAAUAAUCUUGACUCCUUGACAGUACCCGUUAGAAUACCACCUACUAGAAUUCCUACAAAGUUUUACUUUUGUCAAAAUUCAAAAAAUAUUUCGAGUGGCAAUAUGGUGCUAUAGUGGUACAUUCGAUCGAAGAACAUCUGGGGGACAAUCACUUUUGGUCCCCGAUAACACUAAUCUUCUCAAACACACUAGUUAUCAUUCCUCAUCUUCAAGAGGAAAAUCGAUUUCCGUUUAAGUCCAUUCUAAGGUAAGUUAUUAGCAUAUUUCUUUUUUGGGCCUUAGGACAUUCCAAUCGACACUAGUUCCCAGAUUUUCUUUCGAUGUUGUACUCAUCAUUUCGAUAAGUAUAUGCUUGUGAGUAUGAGAUGUUAUACCUUCAGGUUGCAAAAAUCCCAAAAGCAGUAAUCAAUUUCUCCUAGAACUAAUGAAACCAUCUCAUAGAACCAAUUGCUUACUAGUUAUCGGACACCAUCCACCCGAACAGGAUCUAACCUGUAAUCAGCAUACGGUGGCGCUACUAAUUGACGAUACUAUUCGAUAUCCAUAAAUUAUCAACCAGUAUUCCGGUGGUAUGAUUUCUGAUACCGGCCACAUGCUAAUAUCUAGGAGUGAUUGUGCUAGAAUGCCGGUUCACAGUUUCAAGAUAACGAACAAUACCAAAAUACCUUAUAUGCGUUAAUUAGCAGCACAACUGAUAGACUGAUUUAUGGUGACAACCUAAGCCAAAGAAAUUAAAAUCGUGGAAACUUAAGGGCAAGCCUUGUAGGAGGAUAGUAAACUCGUUGUUGUUUUAACCACAUUACCCAUUUAGGUAAUCCGAACAUUAUCGACCAGUCAUCCCUGAGGUCACUUUCACAAACAAACAUUAGAAUUGGAGCACGAGUUAAGUUCCCGUUGUAAAAGAAAAAUGAGUAUUGAGAAAGUUACGAAAACCUGGUAGCACAUGUCAUAGAGAAAGGAAAUAGUACUGUAUGUUUCGAGGAUGCAUAUCUUUGGCAUCAUUUCUCAAAAUUUUACAUAGGAUACCACUGAAGCAGGAAGUAGAAUGCACCAUCAAUCCACCUUGUUAACACUACACUUAUUCUCCCUACCUCAUACCGAACAACUCAUUUGACAUUGAGAAAACUUGGUUACAAAAGCUUACCGAUUAGGAAUUUAACCAAACACUUUAUCUAGGGAACCUCAAACCUAUUCGUGAAGGUGAAAGACUAAACCUUAGGAUUGUACCUAAAUUUUAGCAACUUAAUUGGAUGACGAUUAAAACCGUUAACCCAUACUUUGAAUUGAUGGUCUACCCGACAAACUUUUGGAACUCGAGUUUUCUUUCAUAGCUUGUCGAAUUCAUAGUGGUCUUACCGAUGACUUUCUCACUUACCCUAGCUUAUCGAAUUCAUAGUGGUCUUACCGAUGACUUUCUCACUUACCCUAGCAACAAGAGAAAAUUUUCUAAACACCGACAAUCCGCUUUAUACCAAAUUCCUCAAAUAUUACCUUUGUUUAGAUUGGUACUUUUCUUAGGAGAUGUGAUCUCAGCAGAUGACAUUCUUGUCAAUUUCCAAAAAGGUUGCAAAUGUAGAAAAAUUCGUAUUCCACAAAUUGUUGUGAAAUAUGCAAUGUCCUUGGCCUUGUUGAUUUUAUUGGCAAUUUGUUAGUGACUUUUCAGCAGUGGUAUUUUUCCUUUCAUGUUGGCCGAGGAAAAUCAGUUUUGCUGAGACGUGGAAUAUUAUUUAAGUUGUGACAACUGAGGUGUCGUCUAUUUCCUACCCUUGUUCAUACACCUUUUGAUAACAUCGAGAAUUUUGAAAUCCACAAUUACGUUUCUUUGAAUAAUUUGGUUGUAUGUAGUAUGACGAUGUAUUGCUUAUGUUUCCCACCGGUUGAAACCAUAUAAAGUGAACCAACUUACUCUUGACCUAGUGUCAACAAUUACCAUCUUUACUUGAAACCGAAUGACACUUCUCUAUGGCGAAGCAUGUCCAAAAUCUUUACCAAUGUUAGACUUCUCAAAUACAUUUUCAUUUGUAAUGAGCUAAAUUUCUGACAGCAGCGAUGGAAGAACUAAAUCAAUGUCUACGAUUGCACUAUCGUGUAUUACCCCGGUUGUGCAAACGUAAUUAUUGUUCACCGUAGUAAAAGAUGAAUCUACCUUUGAACACCUUCAGCCUGUCUUAUCCUAAUUCAGUUGGAAUUCAUGAGUAUUGAUAUGACGUUACUUACGAAUCCUUAAGAAAUUGUUCGAGUGGUUAUAAUCACUUACUGUAUUUGAAUAGAGAUGGGAAAUAUCACCAUAAGCUCCCAGUACGAGGUAUCUUGGACAUGUGGAGAUUAUGAUGAUGUUUCAAUGAUUAUAGAUCGACUUGACAAAUCAACUCACUUUCCGCUGGUCCAAAUGGACUGUAUUGUAGAUCUCUUGGAAAAAUUGCUCAUUCUUGAAUUUAUCGGGUUUUCUGGCAUUUCGAUCAGCAUCUACUCUGACCAUGAUUCCAUAUUCACUUUCUGUGCUAGAAAGCAUUCUAGUUAACCUUAGGAACGUGCCUACCCUAUUGCGCUUCGUAUUAUUCUUGAAACAGACAAACCGUCUAAGUGAAAUGCUCGGACGUUGAAAUUUAGUUGCGAUCAUUAAUUCUUCAAUCACCCAAAAAAUAAUCUAUUGAUCGAACCUUUACCGUUCCUGAUAUUCCAAAAGCUACAGCUGUAAUGAGAUAUAUGUAUUUAAUGCAGUUACGUUAUACUCUAGAUUUGAUGGACUUGUUCUGACUCUCAAAUUCUUGACUGUUCUUUUAGCUUCUCGACAUAGUUUUUCGCAAAAUCCAAGAGAAAUUCAAUAUGAAUAUGCUCACUAUGGCGUUGCGAACUGCAUUGUUAGGCUACAUGGUGUAUGUGUCACUACUGUAUCUCACUGUGAUACGUGCUUCACUUCCAAGCCUUGAGAAGUCUUCUUGAAGGCUAUGAGUACAAAGUUAUUGUCGGAUACCACACUUCACCCUUAGACUAAUAGCCAAUCUGAACGAACUAUCCAAACCUUCAUGGCAUGUUGCGUUUAUCCGUUCUAUAGUUUUAGGAUGAUUGUAGUAAACACUUAUAUUUGUUAGAGUAGCGUGUAACGAUGCUUAUUAUUCCAGUUUGGGUGUGAUAUCGUUUAAAGCGUUGUAUAGAGAUUUUAUGCACAAUACAUAAUUGACGGAAGAGUAUUGCAAACAGGUAUUUGAAGAAUUGAAUUUACAACGUAGCAAAUUUGUGUGCUAUUGACGUUAUCACCCGAUGGGGUAGUACGUGUACGCAAUUGAGGCAUUAACCGGACGAUUUAUGUGUAUUUUCCAGUGAGGGGCAUGAUUAUAAUAUUGCACCCUCGGGAAUUAUUUGCUUGCUUAUCGUGACAAAAGUGAGUUGUCAGUAUUGCGGGUUGCAAAUUGUAAUAUCGAUAACUUAUUCGUUGGAUUUGUUAAGCAAGCGGAUAAGUAGGCCCGUCUACGUUAGUAUUUUGAUUUAUUUAUUUAUCUAUUGUUGGGCUUGACCCAAAAGAUACUACACUUAUUCUCAGAGUAUGUGAUGCUACGAAUGCAUAGGUGAAAAUUUUUCAAUUUUUAAUUUUAAUUUUGAUACAAUUAUUUUAACUUUACCUUAUUACAUAUGUAUUUUGACGAUAUGUUACUAUAUAUCUAUUUUUAACUUUAUGUUUUAAUAAAGGAUUUCAUAUUUAAGUAUUUUACUAAAGGAGAACGAAAGUAUGAGUUUGGAGUCACAAAAGAGGAAUCAUUGCAAUCCUAUCGCGACGGAAUGACAUUCUCUUUUAUGCAAUUGCCCUAACUUGAUUUCUUCCUUAUAUAUACAUAUAUUUUUCUCCCUAUCUUCUUUGAGUAUUUUAUGUAUAACAAGUGAUUUCAAAUUUCGGGGAUGAAUUUUUUUUUAAGGUGGGUAGAUUGUAACAACCCGUCCCUAAUUUUACGGCUUUAUUAAUCUUAAAAGUAUAAAAUUACGAAAAUACGCUUUGACGAGAGAUUGUUGACUUUCGUUGACCGUCUUUUCGUGACGUGUGUGAGCUGUUAUUUUACCAUAUUCUCGAAAUACUCGACGGUACGAACGCGUAGGCUCGAGCGGAAUCGAAUUUGGAGUUACGAUGAAGAUUUUAUGACCUCCUCUCAGGUCCUCCUUGUCUCCAUGUCCUCUCCUUCCCACUCUCCCGAACCCUCUCUCAUUUGUCGCCACCUCAUUACACUCUCUCUUUCUCUAACUUUCCCCGUCUCUCCCUCAGCUCUCUCGCUUGCCUCUCUCUACAAGUAUAGAGAUAUCCAACCACCGACACACUCCCACUUCGACGAGCUUCGUCGACACCAACACACACCUACCAAUUUUCUGGACGAGCCACUACUUAGAGGAUAUCACUAAACUAAAAAACGUGUGUGGAAUUGAACCACCAUCGAUGCCAUUUUCUCCAGCGAUUUAUCGUCAAUUUCCGGUAAGGUGAAUCUUGGAAAACCCUUGAUUUUUUUCCCAUCUCGCUAUCCUAAGUCUGAUUCUUAGGUUAUAUCUGUGUGUUGGUGAUGAUUUGGACGCAGAAAACACCCCUGGAAAUUAACCCAGUUUUCUGGUGAGAGAUCCAGCGACUUUGAGCCAUUUUUCGGCCAACUCUAGCCACGACCGAGGAAACCAAAAGUAUAUUUCGAUUCCUUUUUCCUUGAGCUUCAAAUUGGUAUAUUAGAUUGCUAGUUUUAGUUGAGUUUCAAAGCUAGGUGGAGCUGGAAAAGUUUCCCGACCAAGAUUCCCAAAUUCUGACGGAUGUAGCGGCAACCGGCAUGAGAAGAAGAAUAAGAGAAAAAAAAAAAAAAAAGGCCCAAGCCCUAACCCGAAUUCAAGCAUGGAUCCAAAUCAGAUUCAAGCCAAGAUAUGAGUUGGAUCCAAUCUCGAAUCCGAACCAACCGACCCAGACCCAUUUAGAAAUUUGAAGGGAAUAUUCUAGGAAUAUUCUGUUAACAAUAUUUCAUCUGAGGAUGAAAUAUUCCGUUAAAGUUAACUGUUGACUUUGGUUGACUUUUUCAAAAUUUUCUUAGAAACCCUCCUUCAAAAUUUUGUUAGAAACCCUCCUAGGCCAAUUUCGACACCCCGAGUCCGUUUUUUACAUCCAUUUAGUGUAAUUCCAAAGUUUUAACGUAGCUAAAUGCCAGGACGGCUCGGCUGACCUUUUAAGGUUGACCAUUGAGUUUUUGUAAAAUAUGUCGGGAACCCUCCUUAGCGUAUUUCGACACCCUAAUUCCAAAUCCACUCUUCGUUUUUCCAAAUUUAAUGUUCUUAGUGGAGUUUUACUAAUGGGUCUCAAUAUUAUGCUUAGAUGCGAUUACUAUUGGAGACUCUGACUAUCCUAGUUCGAACGGCUGCUACCUCACAAGUAUCUAUGAAUGGGUCUUUACUUAUAAGUAUUAUAUAUUUAUUUAGUUUCCAUUUAUACAUUUGAAAAAAAAUUUCAUACGUAUGCCUAGAUUAGACUAAUGUUUAUAAGAAUUAGCAAAAUGACAGAAUUUACGAAAUUAUUCCAAAUCCAACGGGAUGCACAGGUAUGCAUACUAUUAUGGGAUGCUUUAAUUAUAUUUGCGGCCAUGAAUAGUGUUAGGAUUGAUUAGAAUUAUCAAUUUACCAUUAUAUGAUCAUAAUUGUAUUAUCUGCUCAUCGCGUGCUGCACUAGUAUUGUACUCGCGCGAAUCAGGACCAAUCUUUCACUGUGUAUGUUCACAUCGCACCGUACGUUCACUUUGAAUCCAUUGUAGGUACUAGUCCUAUCCUAGCUUGCUAUAGGUAAUUAGGACUCGCAUGUGAUUCGUAUAACGCCAAUCUUCACGUGGUUAUAGCACUUGAGCGUAAAUCAUCAUUACACCCAAUCUCAGUCAUGUCAAAAUAUCUCUGCAUGAACUUAUGUGUCAACAUGUAUCAAUGAGCACUCGAUAUGACAUGUUUAUGCGAGAUUACACGAUCUCAGUCAUAUGUUAUUUACGCAUUUUGUGACGUAUUGAAUUCUUGAGAUAUUGUAGACUACGGUAAGUAUUCUUAGACUAUACGUACUAUAUAUAUUUUGAAAAAUAUACUUGUUUUACAGCGAGAGUUUAUUAGGUUUUGAAAAGAUUAUACAAAGUUUUGCCUUUAGGCCCGCUCACCUUUGUUUUUCACCCCUCCAGAUUUUAGUGCUGAGCUUUCGUGUCGAUGAUAAUUCUUAGCAAAUCUUGGUAUAGGUGAUUACCUUUGAUGGUAUGAUUCUCACCCUAUUUUACGGUAUUUUACUUAUGCUUUGACAUCACAUGUGAAAUGGGUUGAAGUGUGUCACCCUGUAUAGAAUUUUCAAUACAUGUCUACUCAAGAGAACAUGGAAGUCAGAUUUAUUGAUACAUAAUAAAAGAAAUUCCUUAUGCAUUAGAAACAAUUUCAAAUGAGAAGCUCACUCUGGAGACUGAAAGUAACAUGCUCAGGUUCACCACCAUAUUCACUUUUUCCUUCUCCAUGCACUUAAAUUCUUCCUCAACCUUUAAGAAGUCAUUGUGCAGUUUGCUAUUGCACUGUUGCAACCUUGCCCUGCUCAGGAAAACACAAAAGUAAGAUUUAUAGAUACAUAAUAAGAGAAAUUCCUUAUGUAAUUAGCAACAAUUCCAAAUAAGAAGCUCGCUCUAGAGACUGAAAGUUGACUCCUUAACAUGCUCAGAUUCUCCACCGUAUUAACUUUUUCCUCCUCCACGAACUUAAAUUUUUCGUCAACUGUUAAAAAGUCGUCGUGAUGCUUACUACUGUACUGUUGCAAGCUUGCAAUGUAUUCUUGUGAUCGUUUGCACAUAUCAUUCAGUGAAGUUAUCUGCAGAGCUCUGAAAAAAAUAAUUUUCAGAUUAAAGCAUUUGUAAAGAAACUCCGUACCUGCCAUGGAAGCAAAAGAAGGAAAAGAAUGCAUAUUCUACUUUACCUUCUGAAUAACACUUGAAAGCUCAUUUUGAACUCUCCUGUGCUCUGUAGCCUGGUACACAUAUUAAAUCAUUUAAUAAUCUAGAGAAAUUAACCAAACUCACCCACAUUGAAUGUCAAACCCACCUACAACCAAAAUGCUUAUGGAUCUCUUCAGCUGUUCUAGGGUUUCUUCACUCCUGUAACAUAAUGCAAAAAUACCCACAUCAAUACUACCUAAGCUCUGUAAUUCGUAUGGAAAACUUGUAUAUAACCAACCUACUCUUUUCAAAAGGAAUUCGGUGUAAUAAAAAAGAAAAAUAAAAAAAAUAAAAAGAAAAACAACAACAACAACUUACUAUUUCUUAUGACUAAUUCCAAUUGCCCUUUAGGCUCCCUAGCUUUUGAACCUCCAUGGUCACACUCACGAAUCCACAACCAUGAAACCAAAGUCAUUACUUUGGCAAAUAAACAUAACCAAAAACAAAAACAACUAAAUUUUUCAAAUGGGUUUAUCCCCAAAAUUACCAGCCGAGUUGCUGAAAACUGUGAUAUGGGGUCCGAAAACCAAUUUGCACUGCUCCAACGAAGACCCAAGAGGAACCACAAUUUGAUUCCAAUUAACAAAGAAGCAAAAACAAUAAAUAAUGGGUAUAUACCUGUAAAAGAGUGACCUGUGCUGAGAGGGUGGUUGCCUCAGUCUGAAGCUUCAGCAGCAUUCUCUCCAGCUCAUUCGUAUACCUCACUUUUCUCUCCUACCUCACAGCUGAUUGCCUAUUAGCUAAAUCCUACAAAACCAAAAAAUUGAAAAACCACAAUUGCUCAUUCAAUAUAAUAAUAAUAUCAGUGUUUUAAAGAACUCGCCUCGGGGCGCGCCUAGGGCGCCCUUGAGGCUGGGCGCCAUGACAAACGCCUCAGUUUUGCUGGAGUGGGCGAAAGGCUUCGCCGGAGCCGCCUAGGCACCGCCUCAGCCGCCUAGGCGCCGCCUCAGCCGCCUAGGCGGCGCCCAGUGGGUUUUUUUUUUUUUUUUUUUUUUUUUUUUUUUUUUUUUACUCCCAAACCCAAAUUUUGGGCAGGAUUUUAUAUAAUUGAUGUGUGUGCUGUCUACGUGCAUUGUUAUAUGUGUGCUCAUUAUGCUUUUCAUCCUCUAUUUUAUACAUACAUAAUAUAAUAUAUGUAUAUAUAUGUGUGUAUAUAUAUAUUUAUAAUAUAUGUGUGUGCUCAGGUGAUUAUUGAUUAAUAAUCUCUCUUUUUAAUAUAAUAUAUGUGUAUGCUCAGUGUAUAUAUUAAAAAAUUUAGGUCCCGUGAGGCUUCGCCUCACGCCUCACGCCUCACGCCUUACGCCUAGGCCAGGCUUCCCCUCGGACGCCUCGCCCACGCCUCACGCUUUUAAUACAUUGAAUAAUAUCCACAAAAAUAACCCAAAAAUUCAAGACAAACACACACAAGUACAAAUAAAAAUUAGAAAGUGUUACCCUUCCCAACACAAACUUCAACCACAAAAAUUUGCUAGAUAGACCAAAAGAAAUUCCCAAAAUUUAAGCAAAUGCAAUUUCUAAAGAUUUUGCAGAACAGAAGGCCAAUUUCCCCCAGUUUAAUUUUCAUAAUUACAAAAUAAUUGCAAGCAAUUUAAUCAACAGUAGUAGAGCAGAAAAACCUAAAAACAACAGAAAGAAAACCUCAAAAUCUUAGUAAAAUGAAGAACAAAAAUCACUAAUCACAACCAAAAUUAAUAAAAAUAAUAAACUAGUAUGCAUGAAAGACAGAAAUAAUCAGUGAGAGGGAGGAAAUCGAUUUCUGAAGGAGCUCUUUCGUUCGAAUCCAAGUCGAGCAUGAAGGAAAAGGUGGAGGAGGAAACUCCAAACCUUGAGAACUUGGUCUUCUGGGAAGCGAGUCGAGGAGCACAACCAAGCUUGAGAGAACUAAGAGCGAGACAGGGUGAGUUUGAGAGCAACAGAAGAGAGAUUUGUGAGAGAAGUGGAAACAAAAUGAAAAAUCGAGAAGAUAUGUUCAAAAUAUAGGGUCGGUCGAUGAUCGACGCGUGGAUCAAAUGGGCAAAACAGCCAUUUGACUGUACAAAUGAGGAAACAGCAAAGGAAAACGGAGGAAAAACAGAGGGGCAAAACAGUCCACCCACUGGUCAUCAACAGUACCCCUGAAACUGAGUUUUAGUAUAUAGGACUAGAAUUUGUACCUGAGCGUUGUUGCGGGAUUCAAAACUAUAUGAAAGAUUAUGCAAUUUCAAUCUUCAUAAACAAUGUUUGAGUCAAAAACUGAGUUACAUUGCCAAUGCAAAUUAUACACAACCUCAUCAUGAAUGAAACAAAUUUAAAUUUCAAAAGAGAAACCUAUUUCGUCUAUUAAAAAUAUUACAAAGUUCUUUGGAUACGAAAAAACACAAAUUGCUUCCUAUCUAAAAACAUUAAUGAGAAAUGUUGUUUCCUGCAACACUAAAAGUUGUCCUCUGCUAUGUUGGUCAUUAAGAAAGCAUCCUAGGCAAGGGGAAAAAAAUUGAAAUAAAUUUAUAAACAGUAGAAUUAUAUCAUGAACAAAAUAAGGAUAAAGCGUGUUUACCUAGUGUUUUUGUGUGCAGAAAAAAGUCUGAUUUGCAUGAAAUGGAGAUGACCUUCUCUGGCAAUUCUAUAGGACGCGAUCAAACUUUUGUGCGUUUUCAACUUGCCUUGCAACCAAGUUUCUACAAAAACAGAUCGAAUUCGAGAAAGUAAUUAGACCAAGGCAUAAUAUAAGAAAAAGUAUAGAAAAUAUAAACCACAUAUACCACUUAUUAUACUACUUUGUAUUCCGAAUACACCUGAAAAUAUAUCGAUUUCUAGUGAAUAGUUCGGUUCCAAUUAAUUCCACUUUAGUUUCUUUCAAACCCUUCAACUUAUCCUUGACUUUUUUUAACGGCAUUAUAAUUAAGAGUUAGUUUCCAUCAAAUCCUUCAACCAAUCCCACCAAUACCUGUCUAACCCUUCAUAAUCCCAAUUUUACUCUCUUAAACCCUCUAACCUAACCUUGACUUUGUUUUUACAGCUCUUUCAUUUAAAAGCUUAUUUUCUCUACAAAAUCAUAAUAGUUUCUGUCUUACAUCACAUUUUAAACUCUUGAUAACAUUAAUUUCCAUCUCAAAUCAGAAUGAACCUCCAACGUUAGAAAUAUGAGUAAAAAAAUUGUUUACUAAAAGAAUUUGCCAAUUCUAAUUAACAACUGUUAAUCAAACUGUAAAAGCAACAUAUGAGUUUUUCCAACUUCAACCAUAGAACCAACAGCGAGAAUCCAAUUGGAAAUGGAAUAGACCAAACAGACCAUGAAGAUUACACAAUCAGAAGAUGAUAUAUUUGAAGGAGAAGAGUUCAUUGCAUAGUAUGAUGACAGCCGAUCAACAGCAGAAACUGAGAAGAGCGAAGAACUUGGCCUCAGAUUUUCUCCAGAAUAAUUGAAAAAAUAAAUAAACUUAACAUGUAGGAAUGAUGCUGUUAUUUUCUCCAAACAAUAAGCAUCAUCUCUUAAAAUAUUAAAAAUAAUUUAUGUGCAUUUCAUUCAUAUUUCUAUUCACAUCAUAAACGUAAAUCUCAAAACACAACUCAUGAAACAACUUUUCUUACUAAACCCUAGAACACAUUUUAAAAUUUUUAAAAUAGUUCUCAUUUUUUGUUUUUUAUAUACUUAUCCACACUAAUGACCGAGCAAUCUAGCGAAGAUCACAAAAAGUGACCGUUUUCACUACCUAGGAUCUAUCUUGCAAGAGAACGGAGAAUUAGAUGGAGAUCUCAACCAUAGAAUACAAGCUGGAUGGAUGAAGUGUAAGAGUGCAUCCGGCGUGUUGUGUGACCGUCGUAGGCCACUGAAGCUCAAGGGAAAAUUUUAUAGGACGGCAAUAAGGCCAGCGAUGUUGUAUGGCACAGAAUGUUGGGCGGUGAAGCAUCAACGUACACAAAAUGGGUGUAGCGGAGAUGAGGAUGCUUCGUGGGAUGUAUGGGCACACGAGAAAGGAUAAGAUUGGGAAUUAGGAUAUCCGAGGUAAAGUAGGAGUAGCCAAAAUUGAAGGAAAUAUGAGAGAAAAUCGGUUCCGGUGGUUUGGACAUGUGCAAAGAAGGCCUACUGACGCUCCGGUUCGAAAAUGUGACUACGGGACAGAGGUUCGGGGCCGAAGGAGUAGAGGAAGACCUAGGAAAACUUUGGAAGAGACCCUAAGAAAAGACUUGAGUACUUGGAUCUAACGGAGGACAUGACACAAAUGAGCGCAAUGGCGUUCUAGGAUUCAUAUAGCCGACCCCACUUAGUGGGAAAAGGCUUUGUUGUUGUUGUUGUUGUUGUUAUAAAUUUUCACAUCAAUCUUUAGAAAGUAAUUUUUUAUAUAAUUAUUUAAAAUAUGCUGUAUAAAACAUACUUAUUGCUUCCACUUAAGAAAACUGAAAACACAAAAUGAAUUAAACUCGGAGAUUAAAGUAAGUUCCCUUACCAAAUAACUGAAGCCAAAUUGACACAGAAGCAUAUCAACGUUGCAUCGUCACAGGUACACCAUUAGCAACGUUGCUUUACUGAUUCAAACAUAAACAUGAAUGAAUUAAAAGCGUUAAAAAAUGAAAUAACACUUCAAUUCUUUGCUAAAUUCAUUCAUGCGUUUCUUAAAUUUAAUUCAGCUUAUAAAUUUUCACAUCAAUCUUUAGAAAGUAAUUUUUUAUGUAAUUAUUUAAAAUAUGCCGUAUAAAACAUACUUAUUGCUUCCACUUAAGAAAACUGAUAACAUAAAAUGAAUUAAACCUCGAAGUAGUUCUCCUAAUGAAUUUUCAAAACAACGAUACAGUACAGAAGAGAAGAUUGACCAAAUGAAAGUACAAAACCGUAUGUCUGCUGAACUGGUUCCCAACUUAAUGCUUAGUUUUAUGUUGCAUGUAGACUUCUCUACAUUGGGAUAUACAUAUGUACAUAAUAAUUAUAUAUACACACACACACACAUAUGUAAAUACUUAUAGCAGGGAAGAAACUAACACAAUAAUAUAGCAAUUGCUAGGAAAAUGACAGAUGUACAUAUUUUACUGAGAGAAUAUGAUGAAAGAGGAUUCUUUUAUCGAUCAGCGACAUUCUGCUUAUUCCGUAGAAUUAGAACGUCGGAAAUGAAUCCGAGGUAAGGAAAUAUAGUAGUGGCGAAUCCAAGAUCAGCGGCCUCGGAGAGUUAGUUCGAGCGCAUAUUCGGAUAUCCAAGAAUGGGACCUGCAGGGGGGGUGUUUGUGAAAAAAAAAACACAUUUGUGAAAAAAAUACAGGGAAGAAGAAAUCAAAACUAAAACCAGAAAAUACAGAACAAUCAAAACAAAAACCCACACAAAAAUGAAGAAAGUCAGAGAAUCCAGAGCAAGAUUAGAAUUUGGAAGAAACCCCAUUUGAGAAAAACCCGCAAAGAUGAACAAAAGUAGCAUCAAGAUUAAAAGCAGAGCAAUCAGAACAAAACCCAUAUGAGAAAUAGCCACAAAGAUGAAGAAAAAAAGAAUCUUGGGGUUUGGGAUAUACCUGAAUGAAGCAGUCAUGGAAGAAGAGGCGCAGUACCUGAGCAGAGACAUUCUUCUGGUGGGUGUAAUCUGCGUCAUCGUCGACCUCACAAUGGUCUCAGUUUCUGGGCAAGUCUCGUUGUAGAAAUCGUAUUCAAGAUCCAAUUGACCUCCAUCAUUCAUCUCCUCAAUGACGAAAUCUUGGCCGCCAUCGGAAGAAGCCAGAGAAACCAGAUUGACCAGUGGCUCUUGGGCGGAGGAGGAGGCGAAGAGAAGCAGGGAAACACGAAGGAUUGAUGCAGGGAGAAAAGCACAGAAAUAGAGAGGAAGAGAAGGGGAAAAGCGACGGAAGAAAAUGGAAGAGCACCUUCCCACAAAAAUGUUACUUAUUUGACAGCAAUGCAAUAGGGCAAAGUUGAAAUAACAAAAAAGAAGCAGGGGUGAAAAUGGAAGAACACUUGGAUUUUAGUAUGUAUAAAUAGAAAGCCUUUAAGGGAAAGGAUUCUAUUUUUAAAACAAAAAAUAUAGAGACCCCUCUUAAUCGUUAGAUUUGAUUUUAAUGAAAUUUUUGUAGUUGAGAUUCUAUGGCCUAUGAUUUAAUCUCAACCACAGAAUUUCAUUAAAGCCAGAUCUAAUGGUCAAAAAGAUGUCCCUUUUUUUUUUAAAUGAGAAUCUCUUCUCUUAGAGGGCCUGUAUAUAAAUACAUGUACACAUAUCUAUCUGUGCAUUUAUAUAUAAACACACAUAUAACACAUAAUUAAACUAAUAGAAUUUUAUUCGUUCAUCACAAUAAAGUUACAUCAUCAAAAUAACACAAUAAUACAAUAAUCAAAUAGAGUCACUUAGUACUACGGUCUGAUGACAUUUCUCUUCACUUGGAAGUGAGAGAUCUUAGGUUCGAAUCUCGUGGAUGGCGAAUUCGAUACCAAAUUAGGUUGCUCAUUGCAUGGCUUAACCGAACUCCCCUUCCCCUACUCAAAAAAACAAAAAUAAAAAAAAAUAAAAAACCAAAUAGAGAAAACAAAACAAAUUAAACUCCUAAACCCAAAUUAAUUUCAACUCUUUAACACCUUUUUCUUAGUAUUAGAAUCAUGCUAUGGGGCAUCAAACCAACUCCAUUUUUAUAAGGCUUGGAUUUUUUCAGAGCCGUUGGGCAUCACGCUUCUUUGGUUCCUUUAGGUACCAUUUGGUACUUGGGACGGGACGGAACGGAGUGAGACGAAGCGUUCCGUCCCACGUUUGGUGCGUUCACAGGACAAAUUUUGAGUGAAUUUUCGUUCCGCCUUACCCCUUGGAAUGACUUGUUCCACAUCCGUGGAACACAAAAUUAUAACCUCUUCGUCUCCUUCUUCUUCCUCCUUGUUUCCAUCCGAAGACAUCUUUGCUCCCUCUUCGUUCCAUCCCGUCAUGUCCUGUCUCAUCCCGUCUGCAUACCAAAUGAUACCUUAGCUUUUGGGGUUGUAGAACCAUAUCCGCUCAUCUUGAUCACUAAAAUCUGUUGUAACAUACACUACUACAUAAUAGGGGUGGGCACGAGUAGGUUUGGGUCGGUUUUGGGCCAAAAUUGAAACCAAAUCGACCUAGUUGGUUAGGCCAAAAUUACAAACCAAAACCAACCAAGCUGGGUCUAAAACCGAUCAACCCAACAGUGAUGGGUUGGUUUGGGUCGAUUCUUGGUUUGUGUGUGUUGAACAAAAAAAAAAACAUAUGAAAAAAUAGAGUCCAUACAAAUUGGGUCAAACUAUAUGGUAAAACAAAAAUGUAAUCUAGCCCAAAAAAUGAGGAUAGGCUUUACAUACAAAUACAUCCAGGAAUAAUAAAAUAAAAUAAAUAAUUUAUAUUUUUUCCUACAAAAGGGGGGAAGUAACGUGCAAAAAACAGGUGCUCCCCCAUUUUCUGCAACAAAAAGAAACGUGGAGUCAAAAAGGGGGGUUAACAGAAAGUGGCAGGAGGUCAUGGCUUCCAUCUCCCCCCAUGUAACAAAUUCUAGAGCCUUAUUAGGAUGCCUAUAAAUAGGCAUCAGCUACAGCAAGAGAGAAGGACAAAAAAAAAGGAGGGUACUCUGCAGAAAUUGAGAGACAGAAGAGUGCAGUGAAGACGAUAGAGAAGGAGAGGCAAAGCAAGAGAGCAAAGGCAAAAGAGAAAUAGAAGAAGAAAAAAAAUAAAAAAGAAGAUAUCAAGUGUUACCCACAAGAACAAAGAGCAAGAAAAGCUACAAAGCAUUUAAAGGUAUAAAUCUAUCCUUCUAAAUCUUUCUUUGUAUGGUUUAUCUCGGCUUUGCAGGAAAAAAAAAGCAAUUUGUUUCUUCAACGUCUCCCAUCCCCAGUCCCAUGAAUUUCUUCGGGGUGAUCUAAACCACCCCGUGAAGUUCCAAUCAAUAUAAGUGGUCCGUUUCCCGCCGCUGCUGUCAAUCCUAUGAAUUUCUUCGAGGUGGUCUAAACCAUCUCGUGAAGUUCCAACCAGGUCUAGGUGAUCACUGCACUACGGCAACACCACCGCUCUUCAACCGUUGUCUCCAUUAGUCAUCUGGAAGAAGCCCAAGGGAAGUGCAGUUCAUGAUCCGAAGGUGAUGAAACCAAAGGAUAUAGUUGGGCACGCCAGUCCAGACCAUCAAUAAAUUUGAUGAAGGCUUGAGUAAGAAGAUGGUAGCGGUGUGAAAUAGCUAAAGAAGGCAACAUUGCAAUAAACCGCCAAUGUCAGACGGAAGCCCAAAUAGAGACAGCAGCUGCGCCAUGUCUUCACCAUCAUCGACACCCUGCAACUUGUGAUAUCCAACGGAGAUUUCAUCAAAACACAGUACCAAACCGUUUUCCCACAACCUCCUGCAGCCUCUUGGGUGUCUAAAGAAGUUUUCGACAUCUCUCUUUCUCUUUUCAGAGAUGCAACGAAGAAGAAGCCGUCGCUCUGCAUGUUUGAACAAGUGGAGAACAAGAACCCAACAUGCCCAGCUAUGGUCCUGAAGCUUCUUUCGGUCGACGGGCCAUGGUCGUCUUCAAAAGCUUUUAGCGUUCUUCAUUAAGACUGUUUGUACCAUACCUGACCAAUCCCGAAACUACUGAGCAUCGGUCAACGUUAUACUGUCAAGGACCUAGAAGAGUUUCCCUCCAACCAGGAGGCCAAUUAAAGUGCGACACGUGUCGACAUCAGAAGCCAAUCAUAGCGCGACACAUCUCAACAUCAGAAGUCAAUCACAACACGAUACGUGUCAAUGUCAGAAUGAAACUAGAAACUCUCUUCUAUAAAUAAAGAUCAUUCUCUCACAAUAUUUCCUAAUGUCAUUUAUACUAAAUCAUUCACUUGUACUCAUUAAAGGAGAGCUUGAACCUAUGUACUUGUGUAAACCUUUCACAAUUAAUGAGAACUCCUCUACUCCGUGGACGUAGCCAAUCUGGGUGAACCACGUACAUCUUGUGUUUGCUUCCCUGUCUCUAUCCAUUUACAUACUUAUCCACACUAAUGACCGGAGCAAUCUAGCGAAGGUCACAAAGUUAACACUUUCUGUUGUACCAAAGUCCUCACUAAUUUUGUGCAUCAACAUUUGGCGCCGUAUGUGGGAACGACACUUAUUCCCAUUCUCUUCAGCUUUGUCAAGCUGGUUUCCACCAUUCGUACACUCUCUUUUGACCAGGCAUCCCUCUCCAACAUGGGGAGCGAAGGAAGCCACAGCACACAAAAUGACACCCCUAUUGCACCAAGUGCAAAGCAACGAAAGAAUGAAGGAAAGAGGGUUACUCUUCAAGCUAAAGUCGAUGAGCUAGAAGCUCAGAACAACAAGAUAGCAAUGAAGAAUGAGGUCCUCCAGGAGCAGUAUGAGAAGCUCUUUGAAACACUCCAUGAAAUUAGGCGUACUCAAACACACGAGCUCAUUGCCCCUGUGGACAUCAACCAUCAUCUAGGUGUUUUCCAACACGGAGGGUCACAUUCCUUCAACAUGGGUAUCCCUGAUGAAGAGCGAGCUAAUCAUCAAAACAUUGAUCAACAUGAGACAUCUCUCAACCCAGCUGCUUCAACCUGAAGCAAGAGAAGUGGAGGAAGACACCUCCUUGCAGAAGGGUUGGAAGGAUCAAAAGCCGUUUAUCGUGACUGCCGAGACUUCCUAAAGUAACGUUGAAAGAAUCCCCUCCACAUAUGCUCGAAGAUCAAUGACCCAAGGGUUCCUAAAAGACUCGAUCCCUUCCCACGACCUAGGUUAGCUGCCAAUCUAGGGAAGGAACAACAGGUCCCAGAGGAACAUGAAAGUACAGGGGACUUUGAAGUAUUCCGACAGACUCGCCCUAGAAGUCAGUACGGCGAGUCCAAGGAAAAAUUGCACGCCUUUGCUCAAACUUUCCUACUUCCAAGAGGCAAUUGAGACUUACGAAAGAAAAUACCAGUGGUACAUGAGUCCACUCAGGAUCCCCUUGUCCUACAGCUCCUUGAGGAAGUAAACAAGUUGAAGGCCGAACGUCAGGCUGAGAUACCUGACUGGAACCAACCCAGGCCUGGCCCUCUCACAAGGAGGAUCCUUGACACCCUCUUCAAGCGAAGACAAAACAAAAGCUUGGUUUACAACUAUAUACUCGAAGGGAGGACCCAAUUGAAAACCUUAACCUCUUUGAGUCCACCAUGGCAUAUCAGAUGCACACCGACGAAGAGCGAUGUCUUCUCUUCCCCUCCACCCUCUGGCGGAGCUCUAAACUGGUAUUGCCGUCUUCCACCUAAGACAGUAGACUCAUUUGAGGAAUUGAGGAAACUGUUUGUCUCUCAACACAUCUUCCAGACCGAUCGCUUGCAUUCUGCAGAUGACUUGUACACUAUUUGCCAGAAGCCGAACAAGUCACUACGAGAGUAUGCUGGUCGUUUCAACCAUGAGUAUUCUCACUACGCUGAGGCAGAUGACAAGACCACCUUCAAGGCCUUCACGGCAGGGCUACGUGAUUGUUUCUUUAAGUACAUGAUCAAUGCCAACACUUGGAAGACUUACUCUGAGGUGAUGGCACAAACUUACAACCAUGCCUCUGCCGAGGCAAGGACAUAUCAAGGGAAACCCCCCACAACCACCCCUUAUCAGCAAGUAGGGAGUGGAAGCCAGAUCAAACCAAAUGAGAAGACCUCGACCUUCCAAACGGCAGCGGUGCCUCCCCCUGCCUUACUUAAUACUUCGUCAAGUCAACAGACAUAUCAAUCUCAAGGCAAAAGGAAAGAUUUCUAUCCUCACCAGUCUCAUUUUAGUAAAAAGAGUAAAGGACACUACCGCGAUAACCAAUGGUAUCGCCAUGAUAAUCCCCAACCCUAGGCAGUCAACACAGUGGGUCAAGCACGUGUCAGGAUAACCCCUACCCCAAGGUAUGAGGCAUACACACCUUUGAACGCCACAUGCGUGGCCAUUUACCCCAGCAUAACACACUUGAUACCGAAGCCAAAGCCGAGGCACCCGGAUUACAAGCCCAUGAAAAACAUGGGCACGUUUUACUGCUACCACGAGCAUAACGGCCAUGACGGUGAAUAGUGUAUCACCCUUCGUGAUCAUAUUGAAACUUUAGCACGUGAAGGAAAAAUUGACCAAUUUCUCCUUCACCUUCCAAGGGGUAACCGUAACCAACACCAGGUAAAUGUGAUAUAUUCCAUAAGUGGUGGCACACCCAUAUCUAAAUCUUCAAACAGGGCCAUGAAAAAUAGUGAACAAGCUUUAAGGUCUGGCCACCAAAUGUUUCAUGUGGAAGACAUCAGGGGAGGUAAGUAUCAAAAGCCUAACUGGGAUCCAAUAUGUUUUUACCCUGAGGAAGAAAGAAGUAUCAUCUACCCUCACAACGACCCACUGAUCGUGGAAGCUCACAUAGCCAACUUUGAAGUACGACGAAUCCUAGUAGACACGGGGGCUUCGGUCAAUAUCAUGUUUGCUGAAGCUUUCAGGGCACUUAAUGUAGCUGAACACUUGCUCGAUCGCUCGAUUUCCCCUCUGAUAAGCUUCUCCGGUGAUAUCGUGCAACCUUUGGGAAGCAUACACUUACCUUUCACCAUUGGUACAUGCCCUUACACAAUUACCAUUACCACUAACUUCCUGGUGGUUGAUUGCCCAGCGGCAUACAAUGUCAUCUUCGGACGUACAGCCAUCAAUGAUCUUAAGGCCAUGGUAUCCACACAUAUGUUGUUGAUGAAAUUUCCAACCCCCUUAUGGCAAUGGUUACAUCAGAGGAGAUCAACUUAGUGCACGAUCAUGUUACAACACUUCGGUCAAGUAACAGCACCUGUAUGUGCCCAAAGAAACCCUUUCUAUACAUGACCAAGUCAUAAAGAAUAGCCCAGACGAAGCUAACUUGGAUCUUCACGAUGGCAACAGUCAACCUGACGAUCCUCGAGAUGACUCUUUCAUCCAGCAAGCACAACCCGCUGAAGAGUUGGAGAAGUUCUCUAUCUCAAAAGAUUAUCUGGAUCGCAUGGUGAAGAUUGGUACCAUACUAAGGUAUUUGCUUGGUCAUACGAGGAUAUGCCAGGCAUCUUUCCUGAUAUAAUCUAUCAUCGCUUAAGUAUUGACCCCAAGACUAAGCCAGUGAGACAGAAGAAAAGAUCUUAUGAUUCUGAAUGGUACGAGGCAAUGAAGGCAGAAGUUGAAAACCUCAAAGGCAUAGGCUUCGUCCGUGAAGUUAAUUAUCCAACGUGGGUAGCAAAUGUUGUCCUUGUUAAGAAGAAUCCGACCAAGGAAAGUCUCCUGCUCCAAAAGGUUUUGUGGAGAAUGUGUGUCGAUUACACCGACCUAAACAAAUGAUGCCUGAAGGAUAGAUUUCCUCUUCCUCUCAUAGACAGACUUAUAGACUCUACGGCAGGGUGUGAACUCCUAAGCUUCAUGGAUGCUUACUCAGGAUACAACCAAAUCCUCAUGAACCCUCCGGACCAAGAACACACAGCCUUUACUACUGACAGGGGAUUAUAUUGCUAUAAAGUCAUGCCCUUCGGCCUAAAGAAUGCAGGAGCGACUUAUCAAAGACUGGUCAAUUCAAUGUUUGCCGAACAGAUUGGAAAGAGCAUGGAAGUUUACAUUGAUGAUAUGCUAGUCAAGAGCAAACAUGUUGACCAACACAUCACCAACCUAUCUGAAACUUUCACCAUUCUGAAGAGGUAUCGAAUGAGGUUGAACCCCAACAAAUGUGCCUUCGGCGUAGGCUCUGGCAAAUUCUUAAGCUUCAUGAUAAACCAACGAGGCAUUGAGGCUAAUCCCGAGAAGAUCAAAGCAAUCCUCAACAUGAAGGAACCGGUAACUUCAAAAGACAUCCAAAGCCUUACUGGCAAGGUGGCAGCCUUAACUAGGUUCAUCUCUAAGGCCACAGACAGAUGUGCUCCUUUCUUCAAAGCACUUAAGGGAAGUAAGAAGUACAUUACAUAGACUGAUGAAUGUGUUGAGGCGUUCAAAAACCUCAAAGACUACAUGAGUAAAGCCCUUCUGCUCUCCAAACCUGAGGUUAGUGACACUUUCAUUAUCUAUCUGUCGGUAUCGGCUUUAGCAGUAAGUUUCGUUCUCAUUAGAAAUGAUAAUAAUGUGGAACGGCCUAUCUACUACGCUAGCAAGGCCUUACAAGAUGCAGAGACACGAUACUCCAACAUUGAGAAAUUGGCUCUAGCAUUGGUCAUGUCUGCUCGAAAACUUCGCCCUUACUUCUAAGCACACUCCAUCAUCGUGCUUAUCAAUCAUCCUCUUCGAUAGAUACUCCAAAGUCCUGACACUUCCGGGCGAAUGAUCAAAUUGGCGAUAGCAUUGGGUGAGUUUGACAUCUCAUACCAACCAAAACCAGCUGAUAAGGGCCAAGCAAUGGCAGACUUCAUUGCCGACUUCACAUAUCCUGUUGACAUUGUUUCUACGCCUAAAGAAGUGGUUUCAUUACAUUCGGAAGCUCAGAAAAUAUAACCAACAGCCCCAACAUGGAGUCUAUAUGUUGAUGGCUCGUCCAACCAACAGGGUUGUAGAGCAGGACUAGUCCUUACGACCCCUGACAAAGUGGCGAUGGAGUAUGCUCUUCGUUUCAAAUUUAAGGCGUCAAAAAUUAAGGUCGAAUAUGAAGCCCUCCUAGCAGGCUUACGUUUGGCCAAACACCUUGGGGUUAAACGAAUUGAUAUCUUCAGUAACUCCCAAUUGGUGGUUAACUAGGUCACCAACAACUUUGACGUUAAGGAUAGCUCCAUGGCAGCCUAUCUAGCACAAACACAAUUGUUGCUUAAGCACUUCCACUACCAGAUCACCCAAAUUCCUCGAGCGGUAAAUAGUCAUGCAGAUGCUUUGGCUCGCCUCACCUCAGCAGUGGAAGACAAGAUUGGGAGAAAAAUUCAGGUCGAAUUGUUGGCAGCACCAAGCACCAUAGCUGCGGAAGUGUGCAACUUACAACAGGGGGAUAGUUGGAUAACCCUAAUUUAUAGAUUCCUUGCUCAUGGCACCCUUCCAAAUGACAAAGUCCAAGCUAAGCAGAUUCGAUACAAGGCUACCCGUUACUUGAUCAUUAAUGACCAACUCUACAAGCGGGGUUUUAACCUACCAUACCUAAGAUGCCUUACACCCGCAGAGGCGGAAACUGUCAUUCGGGAAAUACAUGAAGGAGUCUGCGGAGAUCAUGUUGGAUCUCGAUCCCUAGCACACAAGGCUUUUCGCCAAGGAUAUUACUGGCCAACACUCUACCAAGAUGCCAUCAGAAUAUCCCGCUCAUGUGAUAAGUGUCAACGCUACGUAACUAUUCCUCACUCCCCUCCUAAGCCACUCACUCCUAUGAUCAGCCCUUGGCCCUUCGCUUAAUGGGGACUUGAUUUAAUUGGCCCAAUGUUUGCAGGGAAGGGCAAGGUUCGCUAUGCAAUUGUUGAAGUUGACUAUUUCACAAAGUGGGCCGAAGUAGAACCCUUGGCAACCAUUACUGAGGCAAAAAUAGAAGACUUCGGAUGGAAGAACAUCCUUUGCAGAUUCGGCAUUCUCAAUGCAAUAGUCACUGACAACGGGCGACAGUUCGACAACAAUAAGUUUAUGAUGUUCUGCUCUAAGUUCAACAUCAACUUAUGUUUUGCCUCCCCAGCUCAUCCCCAGUCUAAUGGACAAGUUGAAGCCAUCAACAAAAUAAUCAAGCGAACUUUGAAAACCAGCUUGGACAAGGCUAAAGGUUGUUGGCCAGAAUUUGAACCCCAAGUUCUUUGGUCAUACCGCACUUCGUAUCGGACAUCAACAGGAGAAACCCCAUUCUCACUUACCUUUGGUACAGAGGCAGUUGUCCCAGUUGAGCUUGAGCAAGCAACGUUCCGAGUCCAGAACUACGUGCAAAGCGGAAAUGACAAACAACUUACCCUCAACUUAGAUCUAGUCGAGGAACACAGAAACUAGGCUCACUUGAGGAAUGUCGCCUAUAAGCCGCGCAUCUCCAACUACUAUGACUCAAGGGUUAAACCUUGUUCUUUCAAAGUGGGGGACUGGGUAUUGAAGAAAAGAUUACUCUGCGACAAAGUCCCGAGUGAAGGAACACUUAGCCCAAACUAGGAUGGACCGUUUGAAGUUGUUGGCAUCAGUUGCCCUAGCUCCUACAAGCUUAGAAGCUCUGAUGGCAAAACCCUUGGCCAUCCAUGGAACGCUGAUCACUUGAAGUACUAUUACAAGUAAACUCACAUUGUACAAGUGUUAAGCUUCAGCCGUUCGACAUUUUAUGUAACGAAGACUAUUUGGGAUGAAUUCAAUAAAGAGGUGAUUUAGACAACUCGAUCUUAAUCCUCUUACAUUCCUAGCAAUGAAACACUCGGGUUCAAAGCUUCAACAUGAAUGCUUCCAACAUGAAACAAAGUCUAAGUAUAUGUCAACAAGACUAUACAAAUAAAUGAACAGCUUCACAGUAUAUUCGUUCAAUCAUACAUUCCAACACAUUCAUACAUAAGCAAACUGUGCUUUGAAAGGGUUCAACAUAUUUUAUGUCAUUCAACACUUGCUAGAAUGUGCCUAGACACCUUGCCUUUAUUCUCACCAACCAGGUGAUGACAUGUGAAGAAGGAACUUAUCUUCAUGCCACCAACCAGGUGAUGAAAUGUACAAACCGUACUCUUCUUCAUGCCACCAUGCCACAAACCAGGUGAUGAAAUGUACAAACCGUACUCUUCUUCAUGCCACCAACCAGGUGAUGACAUGUACAACCCGUACUCUAAUAUCAUUUGGUAACUUGCCACUCGUGCCACCAACCAGGUGAAGAAAGAACUCAUCUUCAUGCCACCAACCAGGUGAUGAAAUGUACAACCCGUACUCUUCUUUAUGCCACUAACCAGGUGAUGAAAUGUACAACCCGUACUCUAAUAUCAUUUGGCAACUUGCCAUUCAUGCCACCAACCAGGGGAAGAAAGAACUCACAUUCGUACCACCAACCAAGUGAUGAAAGCAACUCACCAUUCAUUCCACCUACCAGAAGACGAGUCGUACAACUUGUACAUGUGAACUCCUAGCAUUCACAAAUAAUAAAAACCCUCAAGCUUGACAACUCAAAUAGGGGAGCACUUAUGCCCAACAAGAGUUAUAGUCACCAACAAAGCCUUAUUGAAAGCCAACAACAACUUCAGUGCAUGACAUACGAAGAUCAAGCUAAUCAGCCCUCUUGCAUUUGCUUCAAACAUUUCCCCAUUGUAACAAUGCAAACACUACAAUUCUCAAAAGCUUCACACACUCUUGAUCAAUAUAGUGUGAAGCAAAAUCAAUUUAUGGUGCUAACAAAAGCUUCAUCAAUGGAGGGCAACCAUAAUUCUUAAAAGCUUCACACACUCUUGAUCAAGACAGUGUGAAGUAAAACCAAUUUAUGGUGCCAACAAGAACUUCAUCAAUGGAGGGCAACCACAAUCUCAAAAGCUUCACACACUAUUGAUCAAGACAGUGUGAAGCAAAACCAAUUUAUGGUGCUAACAAAAGCUUCAUCAAUGGAGGGCAACCACAAUUCUCAAAAGCUUCACACACUCUUGAUCAAGACAGUGUGAAGCAAAACCAAUUUAUGGUGCCAACAAGACCUUCAUCAAUAGAGGGCAACCACAAUUCUCAAAAGUUUCACACACUCUUGAUCAAGACAGUGUGAAGCAAAACCAAUUUAUGGUGCCAACAAGAGCUUCAUCAAUGGAGGGCAACCACAAUUCUCAAAAGAUUCACACACUCUUGAUCAAGACAGUGUGAAGCAAAACCAAUUUAUGGUGCCAACAAAAGCUUCAUCAAUGGAGGGCAACCACAAUUCAUAAAAGCUUCACACACUCUUGAUCAAGACAAUGUGAAGCAAAACCAAUUUAUGGUGCCAACAAGACCUUCAUCAAUAGAGGGCAACCACAAUUCUCAAAAGCUUCACAUACUCUUGAUCAAGACAGUGUGAAGCAAAACCAAUUCCACAAUUCUCAAAAGCUUCACACACUCUUGGUCAAGACAGUGUGAAGCAAAACCAAUUUAUGGUGCCAACAACAAGAGCUUCAUCAAUGGAGGGUAACCACAAUUCUUAAAAGUUUCACACACUCUUGAUCAAGACAGUAUGAAGCAAAACCAAUUUAUUGUGCCAACAAGAGCUUCAUCAAAUAAGUUCAACCACAAUUCUCAAAAGCUUCACACACUUUUGAUCAAAACAGUGUGAAGCAAAACCAAUUUAUGGUGCCAACAAGAGCUUCAUCAAUGGAAGGCAACCACAAUUCUCAAAAGCUUCACACACUCUUGAUCAAUACAGUGUGAGGCAAAACCAAUUUAUGGUGUCAACAAAAGCUUCAUCAAUGGAGGGCAACUACAAUUCUCAAAUCUUCGAAGCAAAUUCAAGACUGUUUGAAGCAAAUUCAAUUUAGAUGGUUCAUCCAAAACUUCGACUACUACAAGGUGUGGCUUGCAUCACAAUCUCUUGCUCAACAAUGUGGAAGCAAAAUUUGUAUAUGUUGUCUCUCCCACAUUUUCAAAUUUCUAGUUUCCAAAAAAAAAAAAAAAAAGGGAAAUUCAACAAAGCUUCAUCAAUGGAGGACAACUACAAAUUCUCAAAAGCUUCACACUAACUUGAUCAAGAUAGUGUGAAGCAAAAUCAAUUCAUGGUAUCCAACGAAGGCUUCAACUCCAAAGCUUCACAUACAAAGCUUCAACUCUAAAGCUUCACCUACAAAAGCUUUAACACAAAAGCUUCACCCACAAAAGCUUCAACACAAAAGCUUCACCAAUAAAAGCUUCAUCAAUGGAGGACAACUACAAAUUCUCAAAAGCUUCACACUAUCUUGAUCAAGAUAGUGUGAAGCAAAAUCAGUUCAUGGUACCCAACAAAAGCUUCAACUCCAAAGCUUCACUUACAAAGCUUCAACUCCAAAGCUUCACCUACAAAAGCUUCACCCACAAAAGCUUCACCCACAAAAGUUUCACCUACAAAAGCUUGACCCACCAAAGCUUGACCCACAAAACUUCACCUAUAAAAGCUUCACCUACAAAACUUCAACACAAAAGCUUCACCUACAAAAACUUCACACUAUCUUGAUCAAGAUAGUGUGAAGCAAAAUCAAUUCAUGGUGCCUAACAAAGCUUGACCCACAAAAGCUUCACCCAUAAAAGCUUGACCCAUAAAAGCUUGACCCACAAAAGCUUGACCGACAAAAGCUUGACCCACAAAAGCUUGACCUACAAAACUUCAACACAAAAGCUUCACCUACAAAAACUUCACACUAUCUUGAUCAAGAUAGUGUGAAGCAAAAUCUUUUCAUGGUGCCCAACAAAGCUUCAACCUCAAAGAUUUACCUACAAAGCUUUAAAAUAUAUAUAUAUAUAUAUAUAUAAAUUUUUUUUUCGGAAAUUCGAAAAUUCAAAAAUUCAGAAAUUUAAAAAUUCGAAAAAAUUCGAAAGAAAAAAAAAUCGAAAAAAAAAAAUUGUCUAGGCCUCCUCUUCUUUGGGCCUAACAACUUUCAUAACAAAUAUAUAUGAAGAAGGAGUUUUGGGCUACCACUUAGAAAGGAAAUGCCUCAUUCGUCAACUCCCUCGACUGGAGACUUGGGGGACUCCUACCAUAUGCUACUGCACCUUGAUACUCGAAAAUCUCACAACCACUCAGUGACUUGGAUUUUUCAAGUCUCCAAACGAGAAGUUUUCCUCACUUGGAAAAUUAAGGGAGCACUACCUCAACCUACAUGCUUCACUCACAAAGCUUCAACAUACAAGCUUCAACAAAAGGAAAAAUUCAAAAAACUUAGUGAAGAAGGCCUUGGUGUAUUUAACACAAUACGUUGAAAUGAAGCAAAGCUUGUUUAUUGAUAUCUCCGAUAAGUUACAAAUAUGUACAUAUACAUGAAACAAAAUAAACAAACAAGAGGGAGCAUUCACAAAGGUUGCUCAGGAGAAGUCUCAGCAGUUGGUAGAGCCCCAGAAAAAGGAGGCACUAUAGGGUGAUUAUUCGGAGCCUCAGUACUAGGCAGAACCCUAGAAGGAGGAGGCACCGAAGGUUAAUCAUUUGGAGUUUCAUUACGUGGUACAGCCCCAGAAAACGAAGGCAAUAAAUGCCUUUGGAACAAACCCACAAACCUCUGAUGAUCAAGUAUAAUCGGACCAUCAGAUUCCUGCAGCUGGUCGAGCUUCCUCUUCAUGUUUGUAGCAUAGUCAUGUGCGAGCCUGUGCAACUGUUUAUUCUCAUGCUUGAGCUCUUUGAUCUCCUGUUUGAGACUUAUCACUUUAGCCGCCAAUGAUUCAACUUGGCGGGUUCGAGCAAAUAGGUGUUGGGCCAUAUUAGACAUAGAACCUGCACACUGAACACUGAGAGCCAGAGAAUCCUUAAUAGCCAACUCAUCAGACCGUUUGGAAAGUAGUCUGUUAUCUUUGGGAGUGAGAAAGUUCAUGGCCACCACUGCAACAGUCAUAUCAUUCUUCAUCACAGAGUCCCCAACGGUAAGAGGACCAGUAGGGGAUAAGAAGGAUGGGCGCCAUAUGUUGUCUUGAGAAGGCAUGGUUGCCUCUUCACCAACGUUCAAGUCAAAAUGACGGUCGGAUGGGCCAGACAUUCUCAGAAAUGAUAAAGGAGAAAUGAGGUGCAAUAAGGGGAAAAUUCCUACAAGCAAUAACUCUCUGAAUGAACUCCUUGCACACAAUUGGUGCCCUUAUAAAAGAUAAGGCAACAAGGCCGUUGGUUCAAAAAUCGAAGAGGCACCACUCUCCGGAUUCCGAAGAGGCACCACUCUCCGGAUUCCGAAGAGGCACCACUUUUCACACGCAACAUCAGCUCCUCGAGUACCACAGAUAACUUUGCCAAAGAUCUCUGACAAAGUUUAGACACAUAAAUUUUGAAGGUCCAGCUACCCUACUAUUACCCACAAGGGUAAAGGAACAGCACCACAACUUGAUAACUAGAAAGUCCCAAUGUGUGUCAACCUCCGUGCUCUGUGGCAAGGCAGACUGGCAAAAAUGCUCAACAUUUACUCACAUUCGAGAAAACACUCCCAACGAGAUUUCUUUCUCAAAAAUCGAAGAGGUGCCGUUCUCCGAAUCUCAAAAGCCACUCCCAACAGGAUUGCUUUCUCAAAAAUUGAAAAGGUACUGUUCUUUGAAUCUUGAGAGCCAGAUCCCCGACAUGAUUGCUUGUUCGAAAACCGAAGAGGCACCGUUCUCCGAACUUCGAGAGCCAGAUUUCCUUGGAUAAAGCUUGUCUGCAAUCUUCACACGCAACAUCAGCUUUCCAGAUACCACAGACCACUUUUUCAAAGCGCUCUAACAAAGUUAAAACAUGUGAAGCUUGCAGCUCCCACUACAUUGCUAUAACCAAGAAGGGUAAAGGAAUAGCAUUAUUACUUUCUCAAAAAUCGAAAAGGCACCGCCCUCCGAAUCUCGAAAGCCAGACUCCUAACAGGAUUACUUUCUCAAAAAUCGAAGAGGCACCGCUCUCCGAAUCUCGAGAGCCAGAUCCCCAACAUGAUUGCUUGUUCGAAAACCAAAGAGGCAUCGCUCUCCGAACUUCGAGAGCCAAAUUUCCGUGAUAAAGCUUAUCUGCAAUCUUCACACGCAACAUAAGCUUUCCAGAUACCACAUACCACUUUUUCAAAGUGCUCUGACAAAGUUAAAUGACGUGAAGCUUGCGACUCCCAUUACAUUGCUACGACCAAGAAGGGUAAAGGAAUAGCAUUACUACUUGUUGUUAGGGAGACUCCUAUAUAUGUCGACCUCCAUCCUCAACGGACAGGCAGACCUGCAAAAAUGCUCAACCCUUCCUCAUAUCUGAUAGGGCACUCCUAAUGAAGCCUCUCGAAAUACUCAGCUUUCUUCAUCCCCAAUAAUACCUAUGCAAACCAGCCACACCAGAGCAAGAGUAUCUCAUAUCAUCAGGGUUAAAAGCAAGAGUAUCACAUAUCAUGUUUUUUCCCUGUCUUUUCCUUUGCCCUUGUUCUUACCUGCAAGACAAGGAGAAAGAGAGCAAUCAGUCAGCACUUGGAAUCAAGCAUCCAGUCAGAAACUGACUGCCUGGAACCCCUUGCCUGAUUACUUACCUGGCAUUGCUCUCGAGUACUCGUCUUCAACAUCUUAUGCUUCCAGAAAAGAUACCACAUCUGCCUGAGGAACAGAUAGGGCAAGUGAGAAGGAUACAAGGAAGCAUGUGGAGACAAACGCAACAGAACACAUGCCGAUUCAUCUAUUACUUUGUCAACAGCAAAAGUAUCCCAUAUUAUCAAGGUCGAACGCACUCUUGAUUUGAUGGACUUGUUUUGACCCUCAAAUUCUUGAGUCGGCCUUAUACUCUGGAGGAAACCAGAAAACCUUCCAGCCCAGUUCAAGAAUAAGCCUGUGGAAAGUUACUUCUUCAAAAGCAAAAGUAUCUCAUAUCAUCUCUUCUCCAUUUGCUUCUCCUUAUCCUUGUUGCUGUUUACGACACAAGGAGUGGGAGAACAAUCAACAGGAAGCCGAAGCCGAACCUCUGAUCUAGGUUGCUUGCUUGGAAGUCUGAUUACUUACCUUGUCUGUUACCUCUUUCGGCAAAUCUCUUAGCUCUUCGACUUGGGGGACUCCUACUAUAGGGUUUUGUAUCGCAGUUGACCAAGCUCGAAACUACAAGUAAGCUUCAAGUGAAAUUGAUACAUUACCUUGUGCAUCUUCAUUGGUUAAAGAUACCACCCCUGGAUGGAGGAAAAAUACUUCUAGAGAAGAUGCCACAGCUACGUAUGAGACAGAUAAGGCAAGUGAAAAUGAUACCACACUUCGGUACUUAGAAGUUUCAUGAUUACUCAAUGGCUUGGAUCUUGCAAGUCCCCAACUGAGAAGCUUUCCUCACUAGGGAACUUAGGAGAGCACUGUCUGUACCAUACUUGACCAAUCCCGAAACCACUGAGCACCGGUCAACGUUAUACCGUCAAUGACCCAGAAGAGUUUCCCUCAAACUAGGAGGCCAAUUAUAGCGCGACAUGUGUCGAUAUCAGAAGCCAAUCAUAACGCGACACGUGUCAACAUCAGAAGCUAAUCACAACACGACACGUGUCAAUGUCAGAAUUAAACUAGAAACUUUCUUCUAUAAAUAGAGAUCAUUCUCUCACAAUAUUUUCUAAUGUCAUUUGUACUAAAUCAUUCACUUGUACUCACUAAAGGAGAGCUUGAACCUAUGUACUUGUGUAAACCUUUCACAAUUAAUGAGAACUCAUCUACUCCAUGGAUGUAGCCAAUCUGGGUGAACCACGUACAUCUUGUGUUUGCUUCCCUGUCUCUAUCCAUUUACAUACUUAUCCACACUAAUGACCGGAGCAAUCUAGCGAAGGUCACAAACUUAACACUUUCUGUUGUACCAAAGUCCUCACUAAUUUUGUACAUCAACAAAGACAGAAACCCGAAGAAAGCCCAGCCAAAGAGGAAUAGGCGCUAGUUGUCGCUGACCAAGUUUCAUUCGAAUUCCAGUUUAAAUUAGGAAUUGGAGGAAAAAAAUCUCCAACAAGCAAAGAUGAUUCGUGAUUUUAGUCGAAGACUAGUUUUACCCAUGUGAAGACAAAUCCAUGCAGGAAGUGGAAAACUCAAAAGAAAGUCCUUGUUUUUUUUUUUAAAAGGCUUAGCACGUGGCACCUCAAAGAUGAAGCAAGCUAUUGUCAAAUGUUGGGCCAAAGCUAAAUUCAAGGUUGAAGACAAAUGACAAAAAAAAAUGUUUAAAACUCAUAAGGAGGAGAAGAAGAGUUCCAGCCAAAAGCUUUUGUCACAUCAAAAGUAAAGUUAAAAAAUGUUGAUGUGGUCUUCUUUUCCUUGAUAGCAAGAAAACCACUCACGUGGAGGACAAAAGAAAGUCAUGGUUCCCCUAUUUAAAUUAUGAGACAAAUUGACAGGUUACCAAGACAAAGGAAAGCUAAGGAAGGAAAAUGGGCACCAAACAUAAAAAAGAAAAAAGAAAAGAUGUGCAGCAAGGCAAGUCAAAAGCACCACCAAAUUCCUUUAAAAAAAAUCAAGUGAAUGUGACAUGGCUUGAAAACUUUAGUCAUGAUUAUGACUAGUCAUUCUUUUCACUUGUUGCAAUGCAAUUCCUUCAAAUUAAAUGAGAAUACUAUCCGCGUGGAACUUAGAGAAAAAGGAAGUAGCUUCUCCAUUAGUUACAACUUUGAACUACCGAUUACAAACCAUUUCAAUUGCAGUGGACACAAGCCAUCUCAAAGUACAAAAUUCGAUGGACAUAUCAUCUCAAAUUAGUGGGUUUGCACUACGUCAAAAUGGAUCAAGCUCCUUUUAAAUUCUUGAAAUAAUCAAAUGGCACGAAGCCAUAUUAAAUCUCAAACGGCACGAAGCUGAAGAAAAGUAUCAAUGGCACGAAGUCAUGACAAAUGUCAAAUAGCACAAAGCCACGUCAAGUUCCAAAUGGCACAAAGCCGAAGAAAAAGUCAAAUAUCAAAUGGCACAAAGCCGUGAUGAGUCUCAAAAAUUUAUGAACUACGCUGGUUUGAUUAUGUUAAGGAUACGUAGGCAAUCUGAUAUCUAGUGUUAAACGCAACCGUGAAACCGAAACGAAUCCCUGGUUUAUAUAAACUAAAUUCACUCCUGCUACUUCGAUCAAGUAAUUACAAACUCUACAAAGAGUAAAAGAGAAGUCUUCAAGCACAAGUUCCUAGAUUUCCCAUUAAUGGAUGUUGCCCAUGCAACUAAGUUCCUAGUUUUUGAUGUGAAAAUUAUGUUGACACACAAAUUAACCCUCUUUUUAUCAAUUGUAGUAAAGUAUGUAAGUAGGGAUCGUUCUAAACCGGGGAUUAGGAGAGAUUGCAAAAUCACUUGAAAACUGACUCGAAUACGUAAAAACAAGUUUAAAACACUAAACUAGACUCAAAGAAUGCAAAACUAAACUUUAAAACACCAAAACAAACCAAAAGACUCAAAACAGCCCAAAAACACUCAAAACUGCUUUAAAACCACAAUCUGGGCAGUUUUGAACACUAGACUCAAUCUUGGACGAAAAUUGGUUUUAUCUUGACCUAAGACACUUAAAAACACAAACUAAAGUGAUUUCUAACUACUAUGACUCAACUAAGUAAAUGGGGAUUGAUUUUGGACGAAUUUAACUUUUAAAACAAAAACUUUAAAAACAAACUUUAAUGAAAACGAUUUUGAUGAAAUAGAAUGGGGAAAGGCUAGUUAGAAGGUUCCUUCUCCACACAUGAAACAUAUGCAUACGACUCGAUCUCCAAUUACUCUUUCAACAAACCAUGAAUGACAAUGCCCCAAAUUAACUAGAUUGACCAAUUAACUCUCAGAUUUCCCUAGAUUCAUUGAAUUGAAUGGGAUACGCAUUACAACCAAAUUAUUCUUAUCAAGGACCCUAACUAUGGAAUACGCAUGAUAGAGACACAUAUCAAAGAUCAUUAAGUUCAAUGGAAAUCAUAAGCAUUGACGAGGCAUUCAUAACUAUGGGAUACGCAUGUUACUCUUGCCUAGGAUUUACUUAACACAAUCGUGACUAGCGACUUUUACUACUUAUGAAUAUAAGUUAAUAACGAUUAGGUGAAAUUCCCUUAUACUCUAGCAUCAAAUUCAUGCAUGCAAACUAAGUGUCGACCCUCAAUCAACAUACAUAAACAUGUUAUCAAUCAAAUAGAUAAGUAAACCACAUUCACGAUUCAUGAAAUCAUAAUUGGAAGAAAUCAAGUCAUAUAAAACAUAUGAUCAUGGCUUUGAAUUCCCCUCUAACUAUAAAGAAAUUAGUUCCUCAUGUUCGCAAAUACACAAAGACAAAUAAAUUUAAACAUUGAAACAAAGAUAGAAAACACCUAGAAACGCUCCGACAAUCCAACGUCUUGAAUGGCAUGCACGGCUCCAAGUUGUCUUCCUUCUUCUCCUUGCAAACUCACGGCACAAUGAGGGAUGAUUGGUGAUGGUGUAGUGAAAAUCUGGUAGAGGAUGGUGUGUGAUAUGUGCGGCAAUGGGUUGUAUAUAUAGGCUGAAAAUCCCAUCUCCUAGGUAGCAAAGGACAAGGUUUUAAAGACCUAAAUUGCAUAGGAUAAUAACAUCCAAUCCUAUAAGGAAAACAAGUCAAAAACCCAAAGGGAUUGGGUGAUAAUGUGCAGCAGAAAGAGUGUGAAAAGAUAAGACUUCUAGAAACCAAAAAUCCCAAGGGAAAUAGGUAUUAGGUGCGGCAAGGAUCUAGGGUUCUAGAAGAUAAUGCAAGGCAGAUUUUUAGGCUUCUAGAAAGGUUCCUAGGUGUCAUCUUGGUAUCAUAAGAUAAGGUCUUCUAGAAAUCCCAUUUUAAGCAUCCUAAUCUAAUUAGAAACCCUCCUAAGUGGCUGGAAUGUGGAUAGUUUAGGAUAAGGAUAAGAUAGGAUAGGAUAAGGUUUGAUUGGAUAAGAUAAGCUAAGAUAAGGUUAUGGAUGAGGUCUUGGAUAAUACUCCUUAUCUUGAGCUGAUUCUUUGGCUUUAAUUCUUCUUCUUCAUGUAGGAAACCUUGCUUGAGUAGGAAACUUCAUAUAUCUAGGAAUCCAUCUUCAAUUAGGACUCCUUUAGUGAUUAGGAAUCCUAAUUCAUUUAGGAAUCCUUCUUUCAAGUCAUUUCCUUCUUCAACUAGGAAACUUUGUAUCUUCAAUUCUUCAACUUUGAAACGCCUUCCAAGCUUCAUCAAUUCCUCAAAUUCGUCCAUCCCUUGUGCUUCAUGUGCAUGAACUCCAUUUUAGCCCAAUUUUGCUCCAAAAUGCUCCAAAUUGCAUCCUAUUGCUCACUUUGUCUCUAAAACCUGAAAACACAUGAAAAUAGCUUAAAAGACUAACUUAACUAAGAAAACACAACAUAAAUGCAUAAGAACUAACUAACUAAGGCGCAUAAAUAUGCUCCUAUCAGUUUUUCUAGGGAAUGUUGCUUCAUAUGAGAUUGAAGUAAAACAACAAACACGUGAGCUUUAUUUUUUAUUUUUGACUCCGUGAAUAAAAAAAUAGAGUCGCUCAAAAGGCACGAAGCCACAUCCAACUUCAAAUGACGUAAAGCCAAUUCAAAUUACAAAAGACACAAAGAAGCCUCGAAUGGCACAAAAACGAAGAAAAUCUCAAAUGGCAUGAGGUCGUAUAAAUAUAUGCAAGUCGGUUUGGUUAACCGCAUCCUAAGAAUUUCAAGAACCGAUUGUCAACCUGAUUAAAGUCGGUGCGAUUUGAUUUAACCACAAAAAAUUAAAAAUUAAAAAAAACUAAAAAAAAAAUUAAAAAGAAAAAGAAACAAACAAACCGCGGUGCGGUUUGGGCGAUUCACUCGGUUUUUUUUUUUUUAAUGCCCAACCCUACUACACAACAAACAAACACAAGGAAGCAACUGAAGCCGUCGAAAGCACUCGAGAGGAAAUUGAAGGUGAGCAUAUUGGGAAUACUAUCUUUAUACAAGUGUGUUGUAGGCUCCCAAUAAAUGGAUUCCAAACCAACUUAGGUAAAACUUAGAAUUACUGUUUUCCAAGAUAGAAAGGGAGAAGGGUAAAAAAGAGUAACGUAUGGAAAAAAAGAUUAGUUUCAUGUUCUUAUUACUCUCCUACUUUUAGUAGGAUUGGGAUUAGUUUCUAGGCAUCAGAAAACAAGUGUUUAAAACAUAUUUGUUCAUGCUUAAUAGUUAAUACAACAUUCAUUUUCUCUAAGAGCAGCUCCAGCCAUGCAUGUAGGCCGGGGGACAGGGGAGAGGAAAGGGCCCGAGGCCCUGUGAAUCAACUCCAGCCUUGAAGAGCCCGAGCUGGUGGAGAAGGCCCGAGCAGGAGGCCUAUCAAUUUUUGACAGCCCGUGAGCCCGAGCUCCAAACCCUUUUUAUAUUUUUUUCUGUCAGGCGAGUUCACCCCACUCGCGCGUGGGGGCGCGUCGCCCGACACCUUUUCAGAAAAUCAGUAACUUUUGCAGAUGGUCUCAGUUACCGUUGGGAAGCCACGUGGCUUCCCACGGUCCGUUCGAUCUCAACGGCUCCUUAAUUUGGAUCGUUGGAUCUCAACGGUAAAAAAAAUAAAAAAAUCUUAUUUAAUAUUAACCGUUCGAUCUGAGAUCAACGGUCGAUAUUAAUAUGCUUUAUAAAUAAAGAAAAAAUAGUUUUAAAAUUAAGAAAAGUUACCGUUAUAACACGUGGCACAAUCUGGAAUGUUGGAAUUCAAAUUUUUUAAAAUCCAACGGCAAAGAUUAAUUAUUUGAAUAAAAAAAUUUAAAAAAUUGUAAAAAAUUGUUUUUACUUUUCUCUAAAUACCACUUCUUCUCCAUCUACCUUACACCACAAUUUCAUAUUUUCUCAACUAUUUUCAAUCAAAUUCCUAUCUUUCUCUCAAAGUUUCAAUCCAAUUUUUUUCCACAAAAUGAGUAUUGAUGCAGGUAUGAAUUGGUCGCUUCUUGAAGAUGUUGCGUUGUGCACUAGCUGGGUUGAAGUUACUCAUAAUUCCCUUACGGGUAAUGAGAUGCAGUUGCGAGAAAUGUGGAGUUUAAUUCAUACCAAAUUUCUUGAGCAAAUAGGUGGGAAAAGAACUAAAGAAUCGAUGUCCAGUCGUUGGAAAAUACUUUGUCAUUCCUUUAGUACGUGGAGAGAUGCCUUGACACAAGUUAGUAGUAAUGUUCGAAGUGGGGCAAAUUAUGCGGAUGAGGUAAGAAUAUAUUAUAAUUAUUUGUUUGUAUUAUUAUUUUGUUACCUAAUUUUAUUAUAAUUAUUCGUUUCUAUUAUUUAUUUGUUACCUAAUUUCAUUAUUAUUAUUUGUUUGUAUUAUUUAUUUGUGACCUAAUUUCAUUAUUAUUAUUUUGUUGUAUUAUUUAUUUGUUACCUAAUAAUUUCAUUAGUAUUUUUUUGUUUGUAUUAUUUUAUUUGUUACCUAAUAAUAAUUUCAUUAUUAUAUUUUGUUUGUAUUAUUUAUAUUGUUACUAAUAUAAUUCAUUUAUUAUUUGUUGUAUUAUUUAUUUGUUAAUAAUUUCAUUAUUAUUAUUUAUUUGUUUGUAUUAUUUAUUUGUUACCUAAUAAUUUCAUUAUUAUUAUUUGUUUGUAUUAUUUAUUUGUUAUCUAAUAAUUUCAUUAUUAUUCAUUUGUAGCAACUUCAAGCACAAGCAUGGUAUGCUGCCAAAAUCAAAUCAAGAAACAAAUCAUUCCACCGGUGGGAAUGUUGGAAUAUUGUUAAAGAUUGUUCUAAAUUUAAAGUUGUGUCUGUUGGUCCAGAAGUAUGCAUGAACAGCACCCCUCUACACAGCACCUUUGUACACAGCACCCAUCCACACUCUACACCUAAUCAUGGCUCCCAUGUUGACGAAGAAGAUGGAGAAGAAGUGCCUGAAACGCCAAAUCCUGAACAAGCGUCGGGGUCGACCCAUUAUCCAAUUAGGCCUCUAGGUAAGAAGGCUUCAAAGAGAAAAGGGAGUGCUUCCAAGAAUGAUUAUGGAAAGUACAUGCAAGAACUUGCUCGUCAAGGUGAAUUGACGUUGGCACGGGAAUUGGCGAAAUAUGAGGCUGAAAAGGCUAGAGAUGAGGCAAAAGCUGCAACUAUUCAACAAGCAUUUCAAGCUGAACAGAGGGAAAGAGAACUACUUAGGCAAGAAAGGGAGUUGCUUAGAGAAGAAAGAAUUGCACAACGAGAUCGUGACAUUAUGAACACGCAUUUAGAAAGGAUGUCUCCAAAUUCUAAAUAUUUUUUGCAAUCGGAGAAAGCGGAUGUGGUGUAAAGGAGGCGUGCAAGAGAAGCGAGAUCAAGACAAGAUGGUCCUAGCACAACAAGACAAGAUGAUCCUAGCACCACAGAUUGGCUAAGUGAUGAUGAAUAGGGUACUUUUUGUAAUCGGAGCCCAUAGUUUUCCAAUCACUUUGGGUUGUAAUUUAUUAUUUAUGUUGUUUCCAAUUUAUUGAAGUUAGUACUUUAUUUAAAGUGAGAGUACAUUUAUUUAAUUUCGUAAUAUAUUUAUCCUAAUAAUAGAAUAUUUAUUCAUCAAAUUGUUCACGUAUAAUGAAAUUAUAAAACACACCAAAUAAAACUAAAAAACUCACCAAUUGGAAUUACAUAAACACACCAAAUAAAAUUAUAUAAACAUAUGAAAUAAAAAAAAACUCACUACAAAAAACACACCAAAUAAAAUUACAUAAUCAUACGAAAUAAUAAAAAACUCACUACAAAAAACACACCAAAUAAAAUUACAUAAACACACCAAAUACAAACAAACAUACUAAAUAAACUUAAGUAUCUUCAGCUUGUUUCAAUGCCCAUUGGUGCUCUAUCAAGUCAAUUUACCGAUCAUUGUGCAUAGAUGACCUUUGAAGUGCAGUAUAUCGUUGAAUGACCCUUUCAUUGUAACGUCCAUCCCUUUCUAAUGGCUCAUGUUGCACAGGUUCUUCAGUGGCAUCAUGCGCACAAUAUAUUCGUGUUCUUGAAUUGUUCAUCGUGUCUGGCUUUGGCUCAUAUUCAUCAACCGCAUCAUAAUCGAACUCAUCUUCGACAAUCAUGUUGUGAAGAAUGACGCACGUCAUCAUGAUGGAUCGAAGUGACUCUACAUCGAACAUUCUGGCAGCACCCCUGACGAUCGCCCAACGAGCUUGAAGGAUACCAAAACAACGCUCCACAUCCUUCCUGCACCCCUCUUGACAGCUUGCAAAGUGUUUUUCCUUUACACUUCGCGGACAUGGCAUUGUUUUGACAAAUGUUUCCCACCGUGGGUAAAGGUCGUCAGCUAGGUAGUAUGGCCUGUCGUACCUAUGUCCGUUGACGACGUACGUGACUUUUGGUGCCUUUCCUUGCAGGACGUCGUUGAACACUGGGGAUUGGGCAAGGACGUUGAGAUCAUUUUGAGCCCCCGGAACCCCGAAAAAGGCAUGCCAUAUCCAUGUAUCAAAAGAUGCCACUACCUCCAAAAUGAUAGAUUUUGCUCCUUUUCUGUCUCUCUAUGCGCCUUGCCAUGCACUUGGACAGUUUUUCCACGUCCAGUGCAUACAAUCGAUGCUUCCUAUCAUCCCAGGAAAACCUCUCAUCUCGCCCUUCUUCAGAAGCCUUUGUAAGUCCAUGCGAGUAGGUUUUCGGAGGUACUCUGCGGUGUACAAAGAUUCAACUGCUCCGCAAAGCCUCAUCAGGGCCUCAAGAAUGGUUGAUUUCCCCAUCCUCGUUAUCUCAUCCAUUUGGUCUGCAGAUGCUUCAUACACAAGCAUCCGCAACGCAGCAGUGAUUUUUUGCUGAGGCAGGAAACCCAUAACACCACAAGCAUCCUUCUUUUGCACAAAGUAAGAAUCAUGGUUGCAAACAUCAGUCAUGAUUCUAUUGAACAAAUAUCGUUCCAUUCUAAAACGGCGUCUGAAGUACGUAUCAGGAAAUGCACUGUUAUGGACAAAGUAAUCGUCCAACAGCUCUUCUCCCCGUCGUUGCCUGCUUUUAUCAAGGUUUCUUGAACGGUUGGGCCUGCAUAUCUGAGCAAUAGUCUGGAUGACUCGACGGGAAUGUGAGGCUCUGGCCAUUCUUGUUUCGUCAUCUCUCUUUCUACUCUCCUCAUCCUCUUCCAUCUCAUUUUCGGCUAUCUGAAGGUUGAACAUUCCUUUAAAUUGGUUAAACAAUUCUUCCUCUUGUUGAUCGAUUUCCCACAUCAUCCUUGAUGAAGAAGAAGACAUUGUAAGGAUGGAUGGUGAAGAAGAAGCAAAAACUAUGAAUAAUGAGAUAGAGAUGUUGAGAAAAUUGGUGUGAGAUUUGUGAGGAUGGAUGGUGGAUUAUAUGGACGAUUCAGAAAGGAUCGGAUUGUAGAUGAGGCCACGUGGCAUGCCGUCAUUAGUUAAAAAUCUGAUUGAAAUCUAUCGUCAAAGAUUCUGAAAAGAUAAUGACACUUGGCACGAUUGUAUUAGAUAAAAAUCUUAUCGAAAUCGAUCUCCAAUAAUUAUCUUUUCGAAUAAUGACACGUGGGGCAAUUUUGAACGAGUUAAAAUCUGAUCGAAAUUUAUCGUCAAAGAUUCUCAAAAGAUAAUGACACGUGGCACGAUGACAUUGGAUAAAAAUCUUAUCGAACUCCAUCGCUAAAUAAUUGUUUUUUUUAUAAAAUGACACGUGGCGCAACGAGAAUGAUUUAAAAAAUCUUAUCCGAAAUUACAAAUAAUUUUAUUUUGUAUUAUUUAAACAAACAAAAAAACUAAUAUUUUAUUGUCUAUUGCCAGGGGGAGGGCUCCAAGGGUGGAGAUGCAAAAGGCAAUUACUGUUCAUUAAUGGCAGUUACUAUUCAUUAAAGGUAGUUACUGUUCAAUAGGGUGGAUUCAAUAGUGGAUUGCCAGGGAGGAGGGCUCCAUGGGUGGAGUUGCUCUAAGCUAUAUGAAAGUAUGUUAGAGCAUCUCCAAGGAAGAUGUUAAAUCCUAAGUGAAGAUAUUAUUGUGCAUAUUUGACAACUACAAUUCAAAUGAGUUGUUAAAUCCUAAGUGGAGAUACUAAUGUACAUAUUUGACAUAAAAAAUCAUUUCAAACAAAGUAUUAUUUAUUGACUGAAUUUGAAGCCUUUGAGCCAAAUUCAACAUCAACUUCAUAUUUAUUUUUAUUAGUUUAAUAGUGGCUCCCUUAUUCCUUUAACAUUUCAACCAAGAAAAAUUUUGUUUUAACUAAUUUUUAAUAAAAGUAAUGUUAAGGAGAUUAAAUUUGUAAACAAAAUUUGAAAAUUAAAAGACAUGAAAGUUAAUGAUUGGUUUAUUACUUAAAUGUUGAUAAACGUAUUCAUUCAUACUGGUGACAUAUGAUUUAGUUUGCAAAUUUAGUCUUCCUAGCAUUAUAUAACCAUUUAAAUUUCUACAUUAAUAAGAAAAUAAUAUUUGACAAUUUGUUUGAAAAACACACAAUUUGACAUAAAACUUCAGAUUGCCAUAUUAACCAUGAAUUAGAAUUUGACCGUUAUAAUUUCACAUUUCCAUUGAAGAUAUCUUAGUGCCACACAUUUAAGUUUAACAAUGUAAGAGCAGUACAUGCCACCUAGUAUUACGGUCUAGUAGUAUUCAUCUUCACUUGUGAGAGAUCUGAGGUUGUUUUCUUGUCAAAGACGAAUAUCCAAAACUCAAAAGAAAAACCAGAAUCUGAAGGGAAGAAAUCUACAACGCAUGUCUUUUCCAUCAUUUUAACAGAAGGUGGUACAGAGAGUCGAACAAAGAUGAGACAAAGGGGAAGUAGCUGUCCCCAUAUGCUCGUUAUUUCCACACAACCUGAGAUACAUUAAUCAUCAAACUACCUACUAAUUAUUUGUAAAGAUAGCCAGUUUCACUCAUAUAAAACCAUCAACACGCUUCCAAAUCUCAGACAAACUGGUUGAGGUACUCGUCGACUGUGGUGUAUUUGACAUCAGGGUAAAGAGCUGUGGCUUCCACGCCAAAUGAAGGCUCGAUCUCAAAGUUAGUGUGGUCUCCCUUCACAAAAACUGAGUGACCAAUUGCUAAUAUCACAUUGAGCGGCACAGAUGCCUCUGCAAAAACGACACAAAAAUAAACCAACCAAUUUUAAAUUUAUCUCGAAAUGUUUGAAAUAAGCAAGAAAAUUCAAAUCAGUUGUUCUCGGAAUAACAUUAUUUGCCACUAACCUUGGAUGUUCUUGAGCAGUUGCUCCUCCGGGACAUAGAUUCUCUCGAGGGAUUUGCCAAUCUUCUUCUCCCAAAGAGAGACAAGCUCAUUGAAUGAAAUGGUGUUGGCAGGGGGCCUGAUGUAGAGGACUUUGUUCAAGGUUCUUGGAUCAUCCACUGCCCUAAUUGUGUACGUCCCAAUGUCGUCUUCCUUGAUGAAAAUUGCUGCAAAUCAAACAAAUUGAAAACCCCUUUACAUUUUCGAAAACGCAAAAGUGGGCUUUAUGCAGCAACUCGUAUGCAUAACAAUUACUCAUCGGUUGCUGCAAAUCAAACAAAUUGAAAACCACUUUACAUUUUCCAAAAUGCAAAUGUGGCCUUUAUGCAGCAACUCAUUUUUUUUUUCCUUGGACAAAGUAAUACUUUAAAUACUACUCUACGCAGAGGAAAAAUCAGAUUUGGAUGCAAAAAAAGGCAUGCACAGGUCAAAUUUAUGUGCAACAAGGCCGUGGCCUAACACACAUGCAUAACGAUUACUCAUCGGUUGUUGAAUAAUUUACCAAAAGCCAAAGUGGGUUUUGUGCAGUAAAUUGAAAUAGAAUGAAACCCCAGAAAAUACAUCUAUUCAGAACCCAUGGUUAAGUAGUUUUAGGUUUUACCUUUAGGGUUUCCAUCGCCCAAAAUGACGACUUUGUCCCUAGGAGGAGAAGAAGCUCCGGGCUGGUUCAAAGUAGGCAAGAAGUAACCAGCAAAGAAGUUGGAGGACACAUAGGUGUAAGGAAUUCCCUCAGCCUCCACAGCUCUGCGAAUCUUGGCCUUGGUCUCAAACGCCGAUUUGGCAGGCUCAACAGCGUGAACUCGAUCGACGUCAUUUCCAAACUCCGACGGGAAAAAUCUCUGCAACCCAAUUCAUACAUUCACAAUCGCAAUUUUACAGAAUAAAAAUAGGUGUGUGCUAUCACACACCCCUUUUUAUUUCUCACGUAUCUUUGUUAAUUUACGUGAUAUUCUUCGAUUUAUCUGAUCUGACGGUUGAGAUCGGCUGAAAACUAAAAGGACGUGGAAGAAGUAAAAGGGAUGAGUGGAUAUCACAC